rnacentral:lncRNA from 1 species
GGGGGGGGGGGGGUGACACCAUUAUCUUUUGUAAUUUCGGAUGCAUGAUCACCAGUAAUAAUAAUUAUCCUGCUCAAGGUUGCCAAAAGAAUAUGAAGCAAAAAGAGGUUCCAUUUCCUCAAAGAUGUUAAAUUUUCUCGAGUUUGUUUACCAUAGAGCAAGUUGAUCGGCUCUAUCUUCUUAAACCAUCUAGCCAUGAUAGAAUAACACUUGCACCUUUCUCCCAGGAACAAUCUAACAUCAUGUCAUGAGCAACCCCUUCAACACAGACUGGCGACACACCAUAAAACGAGCCUGUUUCGCUGAGUCCUUGCGCAUCCUGCAAGAUGCAGUAGUCAUGAUACAGCCAGCUCAAUUUGAAAGAGAGAGUCAAUAAUUUGCUCAGAACUGUGUACCCUGAUAAAAUUACAAUGAUUUUGGAGAAAAAUGGCAGGGGAAAUUUACUUUAACACAUAACCGAAUUUGCUACAGGGUUAGAGAAAAGAAUCAAGUAGUCAACAAUGGAAGUGACAAUAAUUACCACUAUGAAGUCAUCUUUUGCACCCAAAACAAGAACUUUAAUAGAAGAUUUUGGCACUGAAGGAACUGGAAGUGAUGCAUUUAGCUUUCUCAAAUCAAACAGUGGCAUUCUUGAACUUUCCUUCAUUAGUUCCUGAUAACUGCAAGAAAGCAAGUUCAAAGAAGUAUCAUAUAGAGAAAGACAGAUCACAUAGCAUAGAGCAAAUUCAUUUCUUUCCAAAGAAAACUUAGUAUAGGGUAACACGUCAGUAGUUAACAACUAGGAAAAGCGUUUCUGAUUCUGAUUUUAUCCCCGUAGUGAUCAUCUUUUAAAUGCGAAUUCUUGUUAUAAAAUCAUACACUUGUCUGAGACCACAUUAUGAACAACAUGAAGAAUGCUUAAAAAUUAAAAAAGGAAGCUCGUGAACAAACCGUAGAACCAGAUGAUCCUCCAUCGAUGAAGAGAAAAAAGUUUCCUUACAAAGAGACAGAUCAGUCUGAAAAGCUUUAGCUGCCAAGCUGUGGGUCACCUGCUCACAGUUUUGGAUAAAUCUUACUUCAGUCAUAUUAAAUAUUUACUCUGAGCACAAAAGCAAGAAUACCGAAGAUAUUGAUGAAAAAGGAUUAAUAUCAAAUUUUCUCUGAUCAUCCAACAGUUUGAAAUCAAAGGAUAUAGGAAUAUGACCAUCUAGACACAAUAUAUGCCCAGUGAAAAAUACAACCAACAGACUCUUAAAGUCUAAACUGGGCAAUUGUUGAAUUCCAGAUCUUUAGUUGAAUUAUAGAAAGUAAUUGAUCAAGUGUUCGUUAUAAGUUUUACAAAAAUAGAUUCAGGAAAAAAAAUAACAAACAAAAAUUAUUUUUCUCAAAAUGUGACUGUAGAUACCUUAAAUGCAGCAAUAGGUUUGGUAAACAGAUACCGCCACACUAACCCACUGAACACAAGAAAAAAAGAAAAAUCUUAGUCUAAGCCAAUGUUACUUCAAUAACGUAGAGUCUGUGCAUAAUACAUUACAGUAGGGAAAAUCACCUAUUACCCGAAGGAGGUACAGAGCACACAAGUACCACUCCUGCUAACUCAGGAUAUGGAGUUUCCAUUUCUAAAAUAAAGCCAACCAUAAGAACAACAUCAGUACUAGCGAAAAGUAGUUGAAACCAAUUAGAACCACCAUUAUGAAUUAUAUAUCUGUGCAUUGCAGGGUUACAGAGUCUAACAUCAAAAGUAAUAAGAAGAAAUUAUAAGUUACACAUUUUAGAGGUUCUAAAUGUAUAAAAUUGUGUCCCGAAACCAGAAUUCAUAUGAGGUGAAAUGUAUUGUGCUGCAGUCAUGGCUUACAUCAACUCAAGAAUGCUACUCAUAGUCGACAAAAGAGGAACAUAAAAGCAAAAUUGACACACAUAAUGUUCUAAGAUCUCAGCUAUACAAAUGACGACUCUUAACUGUUUUCUAAGAUGUUUUUGGCUUGUAUAAUCUUCAAAAAUGCCUCAUUGACUUUGAAGGAAUUUAAAUCUACAAUGCAAUUCUUCAGCAACUGUGUACUCAAUUCUUAUGAUCAUGCCUGUUUCACUCUUGUUUUUAACCAACCAGAAGUAGACACUCACCUAACAUUUUUUCAUUUCUUAUCCUUGCAAUAUAAUACUGAAUUAUUAGCCCCCCAAAUGAGUGUCCAAGCAGGACUGGAGGCAAACUGAGGUUCUUCUGGAUAAAGUCAGCGACAUCACCUGCAUGUGUCUACUGCAGAAUUUAGGGAGAACAUAAAAUUAGAAAAUCACAUUUUUAUUUUAUGGAAAUCAUAGUAAAACAUUAAAUGAAAGAAGAAUAUCAUAAAAUUAGAUUGUCCAAGGGACUGCUUCUCAGUGACGAGCUAAAGUACCUGGAGAGAACCAGCAACAGUACCAGGGGGUGCAUCACUUUCACCCUGCACAAUUAAAGAAGGUGAAUGAAGUCAGCUUGAGAUCCACAAACAAAAAGACUAUCAAUACUUCCAACAGCUGAUAUACAUCAAAGAGAAGCACAACUAUGUCCCGAAUCCAUUACAAAUUAAACACAUUACACUAUAGACACUUUGCCAAGUAUCAAUAUAAGAACUCCUAAGGAGUUUCCAUGGCAAUAUGGUCCUGUUGGAAUCAAUGCAGAUUAAUAGAAAGGAAAUAAAAAGUAAAGAAUAGAGAUAAGCAAAGCUCUAUAGAGAGAGUAAAAUUAUGCAGAGAUUCAUCCACGUUAAUUUUCUUUAAGAUGCAGUAUAAAAUUUUCUUUCUGUAUUCGCUCAGUGUCUAUGCUAUGACGAUUUUAAAGUAAAGCCAAAAAAAAAAAAAAAACCUACUAAGUCAAGAACUAUACAAAUCAGAUAUUGCCACAAGAAUUCAAACCAAUUAAGCUUCAAGAUUGACAAAAAAAAAGAAAAAAGAGUAAAAUCACCAGAUGCAACAACAAAUUAACAGUGCAUGAAUAAAAUUCAGUACCAAUCAAGCUUAAAAUAAAAAUAAUAAAAAUAAUAAAAAUAAAGAGAGAGAAAAAGAAUGACCUGACCCAGCAAGCUGACAGCAUAGCAAUCGAACCCAGAAUCAGCAAAGAAACGCAACCAGUGUUCAGCCCAGCACCAAGCUGCAUGAUAACUCCCAUGAACAAAAACCAAAGGUGGCCUUUUUUCAUUUUUCUUAUCUGGGUCCUUGCUUGUCACACUCUUUUGCUCAACCACCUCGAUGUUCAAACCAGAAGGCAGCUGGUGAGAGACACGAGUCUGCCCUUGCUUCAGCUCGAAGGGUACCCGCAUUUUGUGAGCUUUGUUCAGGACAGCCAGGGGUUUCACUGUCAUUUUGUUCGGAAGGGUGGUGUGCAGAUAGAGAAGUGAAGCCAUUGCUGUGAAGUUAUGAGCUAAGCGAAAACUCGGCUUUGGUUUUACUUUUUAUCUCAUUUGGAUUUUAAGAUAGCAGAGUGGAAUGUUAUAACUUGAAAAUGAACGUUUAACUCUUCAACCAUAGUAGUUAGUAUAUUACUGCCCACUUUUUAAUUGGAUGGACUAGCCGAUAUAUAUAUAUAUAUAUAUUGAAUACAGACUAGCCGAUAUAUUGAAAUUGCACGAAAAAUAUUAAUUUUUUUAAUUAAAAAAAUUUAAAACAAUCACAAAAUUUAUGUUAUUUUAUCUCUCACGUAUUAUAUAUCAGUAAACAAUAAAUUUAUCAUUCAUAUAAAAAAAAUAAAAAUAAUUAAUAAGACGAAAAAAAUUGUUGAUGAAUGAUUUUAUUCUCAAUUUUAUUUUUUAACUUAAAUUCAUAAUUUUCGUAUUCUAUUUAAAUUUUUCGUUUUUUUUAAAUUAGAUCAUAUUAAAAAAAUUUGAGGAAAUUAAAUAUAUAAUUAUUGCUUUUAUUCGUAUGUUCCAUGACUUUCCAUCAUGUUGUGGAUAAUUGAAAUAUGUGCUUGGAAGAAAGGUAUUGAAAACCUUCAUCACUCUCCUCACACACGAUCCACGUGGAAUUUAUCAGCCAAUCUGAAGCGAGAAAUGAAUUACUAGAGAUGUUUGGGGUCAAAUAGAAGAAAAAUCAUUUUGAAAACUUGAUUUACUUUUUGAUGCACUCAUUACCCCGUGGCAAUUGGCAUCCGAUUAUGUUGGAGGCAAUGACAGCAAAUCAACAAACGUUUGGCUAUUUUGGUAAUUUUGGUAAAAGGCGGUUUUUGCGAGAGUUUUGAUAGUUGAAACAUUUGUAGAGUAUGAAAAUCAACCGUUUUACUUAGACAUUUUUUAACUAAAUAAAUUUAACCCAAAAGAUAUAUAAAAUUUAUUGAUGAUAUAAAAGCUUGAAAAAGAAAAGAUGGCACGAUAUAUGAAAUUUUAUUUUUUUAACUCAAAAUAAUGGAAUCAUAUUCAUGUGUCUUAAAAUAUUUGAGAAUUGAUUUAGUGAACGAAACGCGUGAAGAUCUUUGGUUAAAAGUUAUGAGCCCCACAAUAGAACUCCCUCAAACAAAGCUACCAUGCUCGCAAUCGCAUACUAAUCAAACUCCGUUAAUGGAUAUACAUGAAUUCUUAAAAUGAUUCCUAUAGAGGAAAAUUCAGCUUCAGAAAGUGAAAUUGCCACUUGGAACUUCAUGUGUGUUUUAAAUUAUUUUACUUCCUUAAUUAUAAAGGAAAACAAAUUGCACUCUUAUCCCCUCAUUAGCGUGACCAAGACAUCUAAGAGUUAACGGUACUCUAUAAAUUGCAGUUUCAGCCUAUCAAAUUUGAACCACCACUCAGCCCUCUGAGAAACUCUGUAUAUAGUUGCCACUUACAUGGCAGAUUUUCGAGAAAAUACGCAGAGUUUAAGGGCAAGUCAAGCGUUCACCGAGCUUGGUGUGAACAUGGAAAUGGUAAAGCAUUUUGCAGAGCUAAAGCCGAGCAUGUUAGAGUAUUUCAACACGCCAAACUUCUCAUUAGCAACCCCCUUGGCCCACCAGCAACCCGAGUUUCUUGCAGGCUGUUCUUAUAACAAUUCUUUUAGCAAUUUUCAAACAGAUAGCCGGAUUGUAGUACCCCGUGUUCGUACCGUAAGGGGGAAUGAAGAUGUCUUGUAUGAAAGCAGCAGAAGAGAAGUUACAGAACAAUCAACAAGUAUCUCCAAGACCAUGUGUUCUUCGGCUUCGACGAGUGAGACUCAGGGAGACACCUACAAGAAUAAAAAAAUUGUAUGCGUAAAUUGUUCCUCUUCGAAAUUUAUUUAUUUAACUGUCCCUGUGAGUCACUGCUUCAUUGGUAAUCUGAUAUAUGCAUUUUCAGAGAUCAAGAAGAGGGAAGAAAGUGAGUAGCAAUGAGAAGGAGGAGGGAAAUCCAGAGAGAAUUAUUCAUGUCAGAGCAAAAAGAGGCCAAGCUACUGACAGUCACAGCAUAGCAGAAAGGGUUUGUAUAUUUGCAAGUUUUAGCCCAUACAAGCAGUGAAUGAAUUGACUGUUACAAGGAACAUCAAUUGAAGAACUAAGCAAUAAUUCUUUUUGUUUUCCCUUAUUCUGGUCUGUGAAUCAGGUCAGAAGAGAAAAAAUCAAUAAGAAAAUGAGAUGCUUGCAGGACCUUGUCCCAGGAUGCCACAAGGUCGAUUUUAUAUUUUUUUAAAAUAACAGUGCAUGUUGGUUUAAAGUCAUGCAUUCCUGAUAAUAUGUGAAUAUAAUUAUCCUCAGCAUGAGUGGGUAAAUGUGCAGGAUAUGGGAAUGGCAGGGAUGUUGGAGGAGAUAAUCAAUUAUGUUCAUUCACUGCAGAAUCAAGUUGAAGUAAGUCGCAGACAUAUCCAAAGUCUAGUAUUAUUCAUCCCAAAAGCUGUCACACCAACAGUUUUGAACUAAUUUCUCUUUUUGUCCUCCUGAAUUCAGUUUCUUUCGAUGGAACUUGCGGCUGCGUGUUCCUCUAACGAUUUAAACAUCGAAACAGAAUCUAGCAGAAAGACACAGGUAUGCGUGUAUGGACUUGCAUUGCACGUACGUAUGUGUGCAUAUGCCCUGGCACAUAAUUACGUGCACAAUUGUACGCAUUUAUGGGUGAACAAAUGUAAAGUGAGUGAUGUAGAAUAUAUUUUAUGCGUCAGGGAACCAAUUCACAUGAGGCACUGGAGAUGGAGAUAUGGGCAAAAGAAGCAUAUGGAGAGUACACCAGCUUCCACUCAACAUGGUCCCUUUGACUCUACUUUUGGCUCUUAUUCCCUAUUUGAGACACAAGCACAUGUGCAUGCUUCAUACGCCUCUUCUGGCAAAUCAAAUCUGUGUUCAGUUAUGCUGCAAAUGUUCCAAAGAUAUGUGUAUUGCUUCAUGAAGGGUUGAGGACUAAAGUACAAAAGUUGGAAUCUUUCUUAUUUUUGUCCAAAUCCAGGAACUGAUUUUCCUUAAUAUGAUGACUCUACUGCGUAUGGUAUAUGAUUUUGUAGCAUCCUAUGUAUUGGUGUUGCCAUGUUCGGCAGAGCAGUUAAGCAGAAAAUGAUUCUGAUGUGACUUGGGUUCAAUGUAUUGCUUGUAUACUCAAUUUUAUGUGUUGGAAUUUAGCAUUUGGGUCACUUUGUGCAACUAUUAUGCCCAUUUAAUCAGACACUUGCAUGUGCUUCAUGGUUUCUUUGCGUGCAAGAUGUGAGAGAGACAGAACAAGAGAGUUUCCAAAUUGUUUUCAGAAUCCAUUGGUCACAAAUUCAAUCUCCAAAUUCAUCACAAACAUCUGUGAAAACCAAAACACUUGCUUCAAUAACUAAAAGACACAUGCACUUGCAGCUGUCCUAAAGCAAUCAAGCUUAGCCAGCAAUGAUAAUCUUUUUGUCUUCGGCUACCUAGUGUUUGUUCUUCUUUAGUGAAAAUAAUUUAUUGAUUCCAAAUAAUAUCCUCGGACAAUGAAAGUUCAUCAUAGCUGAGAAGUCAAAUUGAUAGGAGAAGCAUCACCAUCCAGUCUAUUGCUUCAAUACAAAGGAAUAGUGUCUUAAGUCUCAGCAAUAUCCAAAUUACUAGCAACAUUUCAAUUAUAUGUUCCUUUGUGCAUCAUCAGUCAAUUCCAUUCAACUAUAAAGAAGGUUGAAUUAUAACACCAAAAAAAAAAAAAAUGAUAAAUUGCAUAUGAACAAUCAAAGGAUUAGCUAAAAUGGGUUCCACAAACAUAUAGAUAAUAAAAUCCCAUAGAUGUUGCCAAUUCAUGUACUGAAUGAUUGAUUUAAACAAUGCAAUACAUAAUAUAUAUAUUCGGGGGGCAUCAAGGAAAAUAAAAUGGAGAUGCAUUGUAUCCUAAACCACAAGAUUGAGAGAGGACAACUAGCAUGGGCCAUAUCUUGUUCACAAGAGGAUGGAACAAUAUGGGUUCUCAAUUUUCCUGAAAGAAAAAAGACCUCAAUUAGUAAAGCUUCAACAAUCUAGAUAACUUUUCUUUUGACUCCUUUUUGACAUUUUUCACUUGCCUUUUGUGAGUGCAUGCACAGUGAGAAGAUGUUAAUAAUGAAUUAAUGAGCCCCUUUGCCGGCAACAUCUAAUAAAUUUAACUGAAGUUGGAUGGACAAGAACUUUUAUGAAGGCUAGCUUGAGGAUCUACAGUCCUAUGGAGCUAGCCAGCAUGUAAUAGCGCAUGUCCAACUUACAAGGAAAACACUUUUUUAUGCAAAAAAAAACUAUAUAUGCAAGAAAAUACUUGGAGAAAGCAACUGAAAAAAGUCCAAAUGAUUCAGUUUUUAAUAUAUUUAUAUCUUAAAUGCCCAUGUUAAAAACACAUUUGUCUCCCCCAUGUUCUCAUCCAAAGCUCAUUAUAACUUUCUGCUUCUUUCUUUGCUGUCAAAUUGCAAAUAAACAUUCAAUUGGACAAAAUAAAGUACCGAAAUUUGCUUCUGUUGAAGCUAGGGAUGUAUCCUGCUAACUUUACUUGAUUGGUCAAAGUUAAUAGUGAUUUCUUUUUUGCUUCAUCCGUUGAGAUGUAUAUCCAUUUCAGAGAUUUUUUAAAGAUCAUAAAUAUGGGAGGCAAAAACAAGAUAGAUAGAAACCGAUGAAGAUGUGUAGACCACCAAACGCUGCUUUGAAAAUAACUUCCAAUAUCAUUGUGUGCCUACAUGUGCUUGUACAGUCUUACAAUGUUAACCCCUUUGUUUGUCUACGUGUUUGCCUUGUCUUUCUUAUUUAAUGUUGUUGGCUCCUACGUAUUGCACAAAACUUUCCCAGGUGAGGUCGCUAUUGAAUUAUCUGGCUCAAGCCUAGUGCGUACACGAUAACAUGAAGUGCCUCUAAAGUUACCCCAUAUAUGUAUUAACGUGUGCUCUGAAAAUACAAAUUAAAAAUCAUCUGUUCUUAUAUUUUAAAUGAGAUGCUUUCAAAGUUUCAGGACGAUACUGUGGCUUGAUUUAAUCAUGCCGGCCCUGCGUCAGAUUUUGUAUAUACGUGUGAUCAAAGUUUGUCGAAUUGGCACUGGCUGAAGUGUUGAUUUGGGGGCUGAUUUAUCUGUAGGCUUGUAAUGCUGUUGCAGUGGUGGCCUCAAAUAUCUUGUGCAAUCUUAAUCAAAAUUGAAUUAAACAACACAUGGCCAGUUCUGAUAUAUCUUUCCCUAAUUUGUUCUUUUGCAUUGGUUUCUUUUUAAUAGCCUGAAAAAAAUAAUAAUAACAAAAACGUGCUCAUUGCGGCCCCACAAAAUGGCGUGGCCCUUUAUUGAAACGUUAAAAAUAAGUCGGCCUUAUUGGGCUUACAUCUACAAUGGGCCGAUUCUGUCCAAAUUUUAGUUGGUCCGGCCCGGUUCAAAUGGUCUAUGUUAUCUCCGUUACCUCUUUCUGAUUGCUUUAGAAGAUUCAACUCGGCUGGCUUUAACAAUUAACACUAAAGCAAACUGAAUUAUCAGCAUACACAAAUUUGAAGCUUAUUAAUUAAAUUAGUAAUUUUCUUUUUUAAUUUUUUUUGCUCUAGCUUGCAUUAUAUCGUCGUUGCGCGUAGUCUUCACCGGAAAUAUAUAUAUAUUUAAAAAAAAAAUGAUGUCUCCAAGGCCAAACUCUGACGAUCGAGGAUCUUCUAAUUUCAGGUAACAAAAAUAAAUCUCAAAUUCAGUUUUCCUUUUGCCGUUUUGUUCUUCAAUUGCUUGGGGCUUUUGCAAAACCCUAGCUCUCUGUUUGGUUUAAUCGCUAAGAAAUUUUUUGAAUUUAAUUUCACGCUUUAAUGUAGGUUCAUUAGAGGCUGAAUUAUAGUAUUUAGUUUCAGCUGACUAUGUACUCGAAUAAGCUCGUAAUCUUCGAGCUUAAAUGAAGAGAAAAAUGAAAAAACCAAAGUAAAAUCUCUAGUUCUAUGUUUUUCGUUUUCUGCCAAGAACUAUUGAAACAAAUUGAAAACAAAAAAUGAAUCAUUUUGUUUAGUAAUGUUGGCCUCAGUUGAGUGAAAUAUGCAAUGUUAGUUGACUGAUCCAGUGAUAUUGCAACAACUGUGAACCGCGGUUGAGCCAAAUACAUACCAAGAAUCUCAUGUGGAUUUGCGUAUCAGUACACUGUUGUACUGAAUUAUUCUCCGAAUGACUUCUUGUGUAUUGUUUUGGCGUUUGAGUUGUAAGUGUUAAUAAUAAAAAAAUCAUUUGUUUUAAUUUUAGGUAGUUCCACAUGUCAGUUGCAAGAACAGAAAUGAAAAAUUCUUAGCUUUUCAAUUUUCACUCCAUUGGUAUUUGCUUAUUUUUUCUCUAUUCUUUUUGGUGCUGGAUAUUCGUAGCAAGUAGCAACUUGUAAUGAUUUACUUUUCUAUGCACGUUUUCCACUAGGCAUACUCCAUUACAGAUACUUCAUAUAAUUGCAAGCUUUUUGAGGAUAUGGUCCGUUUACUCCAUGUAUCGCUAUUUGUCUCAAACGGGAGUUUCAGUAAUACUUUUUAUCUUCUGCUGUUUGGUACCCUCAUCCAUCCUAUUUUUGCUGCUGCAAAAGCCUUGGAAGGGCAGACCGCUCUUGAAUACGCAGGUCUGUUUUUAUUGCAAAAUGAGAGAUGUGGAUGAGAGAAAUUGAUGCUUAAUGAUCUUCUAUUAUAUGCCCCUUUGUCAAUAAUGUCACUUAUUUUUCAGAUGGUGCCUUCUGUCAUUAAUGGUGGCAUAACAGCUUUAUAUUUUAUCUUGUGGGGAAAGGGACUCAAAUCAUGUGGACCCGUUAGGUAGGUUAUCUGAUUCUUAAAGAGUGUUUGUUGAUUGUUAUUUAGUCUUUAUAUGUUUGAUUGUGUUUCAGUGAACCUCAAGGUAUUAUUUUAAGUUUUAUGCUGAGAUUGCAUGCUGAUAUUAGCCAGUCUGCUGGCUAGGGCAUGAUUGGCUUUAACUGAAGUUAAGGAUCUUAUGUUGUCUCUUCUGGAUGUCUUGAUGCUGGAUAAAGUGUUGUUCUGCUUUUAAUCGAACUCUUUAUUAGGGUAGUUGGUGGUUGAUUUUAACUUGCUGGCUCUUUAUUUGAGAAGUUAGUUUUGAUUAACAUUUGUUUUGGCCUCUAGAGCUUUAUUGGCAGAGUAUUCUGGUGCUGUUCUUGGAGUACUAUCUGCAGUAUUGUAUGGACGGAGGGGCCAUGUAUGGAAAAAGGUAAUUUUCUGAAAGAUGCUUCACUAUUCUAUUGACGAAUUUUGCUUAUAGUAUCGAUUCUUCUCAGUUAAAUGGCACUUUGGUGGAAACUUAAGCAUAGAUUUGUAAUCUUGCAAUUGUGGGCAACCUUAGCUGCAUCUUGUGCUUAAGGAAAAACCGAUAUCCUCACAAUGCCAAUAAAAAUUGAGUUCUGCCAAUGCUGGUUGAAAAUAGAAUCCAAUAAACUGAUAGCAGUUUCAACUUGACAGUGGAACUCAAAGAGUAUUUAACCAGAUAUAAAAUAUGAGUUCUUCCGUCAUAAUAAUUUAUUAUCACCUGGGAUGCUCAAACUGGAAAUUACUAAUUGGAAUGGUGUUUUCUCAUAUUUUACCAGGUAGGUGGGCUUAUUGCGAUUUUGGCAUCUUUCUACUUCUUAUCUCAAGGCUGGGCUACAGAAACUUCUUCUCCAUUCUAUAUCCUCUUUGAACCUGAAUUUUUAUAAGCUAAUAAAUGCUGAUAUAUAAGUGAUUUUCGUUUUUCUUUCUUUUAUUCUUUCUCCUUUACUUUUUAAUCUUGUUCCAAAUGUAUUGUGAUAAACUUAACCUGAAUAUACCUUUUAAAGAUAGUCUUGAUGCAGAGCUUCGGACUGAACAAGUACUGGGAAUGAAAGAAAUGGUAGUUCCCCUACUUGCUGGAAUCUUAUCAGCCUUGAGAAGAGUGAUUGCACGGCGUGUUUCACUCAAGGUGUUGACAUUUUUCUAUCUACAUUGAUCUUGUGCAUUUUUCAUUCAGCCCAUAUUCCAGUUAUUAGCCCUCCCCCUCAUGGCCUCACCUCCUCUUUAUUUUUCUAGCGGGUGAAAACUGAUAAAUAAUCCUAACAUCAAUUUGGCCAUUUCUGCUGUCAGAAUACACUCAAGAGACGACUUCAUGCUAUCACUAUUACUUCUGCAACAUGUUUUCUGUUUCCUGUAGCUAUGUGGGACUUGAUCAUCGUAAGUUUUGUUAUUAUAAUUCAGUCCUAAGAGUAACUCUAACAGACAUACUUGUUUGUGGAAUAAUAUACUCAUUUUAUAAUCUAUCAUGGGAUUUGGUUUGACGGAGAUUUUUUUUAUAUCUCUUUCUGUUUUUGACCACUUCAGGGGUCAAAAUCGAGUAGCAGUGUGGAUCUGCCAUUUUCUGCAUGGGCUUUUCUGAGCACUACUCUCUUUGGGAUUAUCUUGAUAUUCUAUGUUGACGCUAUGGCAGAGGAGAGGUACCUUCUACAUACAUGCAUCUCUGGCGUCCACAACUUACUGGUGUUUGAUUAGUUCACUCAUUAAUUAUUGAUACAACUAUUGUUUGUAGGUUACACAUGGUUUUUUCUUCUCCAAGGCAUUUAAUGGUAGCUGGAGGAUGCAUUAUUGUCAUGGAGAUGGUGUAUAAGAUGGACUUUUCUCUUAUAGGCUUUAUCAUUUGCUCCUUAAUAUUGGGUUUUGGUAUGCCUCCAAAUAAAAGUUUUUCUUUGUUUCCUUUGCCUUUAGUUUGUUGUGGGUUCCAUUUCUGUAUCUUUACAAUGAAUACACCAGGGACAGAAACUAUACAAGUCAUCUUUUAGUGCAAGGAAGUUGAAGGAAAAAAUGCAUGAAAAUUUAGAAUUAAAAUACACACACACCAUGCCUAGAUGCACUCUUAUCUGGCAUCUGAAUCCGACUCAAGGAUAUUUUAAGGAUACUUUUUGUGAUGAUCAUUAAUUUCUCUUGAACUUAUGUGUUCUAUGUUUGAUAGCUUAUGCUUUUUUUUUUUUUGCAUAAUCUUGUAGGGAUAUAUGAGGCCACUUCCUUGGACCAUGGCAGGAAAGACACUUUUCAAAAACCAGAUCUAUCAAACGGGAUGCUGGGGGAUGAACUUCAGAUGUCUUCACUUCCUACUUAGGAGUAAGGUGAACACAUCUGCCCUUUACUUCUUUUUCUUAUAUGAUCUUUUAAGAUCCACACACCUCUUUGCUUGAUCUAUGCUGCUGCGAUUCUCAACAUUUUAUAAAUUUGAAAGUUCUACCCUCUAUUGGGGGCUAUAUGAGGUUUAAUGAAUCCAUGGAAGCAACUUUUGGCCUUUUCAAGCAAGGGAGAGAUGGAUGGAGACCUAUCUCUUCCUCUAAGCCUUAAUUUUUGUUCCCCUUUUCUGGGUGAUGGUACUGACCGAUCUAGUUUAUCAAUGCACUUGCUGUUUCAGGAAUAUCAACAGCAUAUCCUGUUUUUGUUUGCCGCAUUUCUGGCAGAGAUUAGUUUUGUCGCCAAAACUUAUCGGGUCUCUAACACUGCUUGUUCAGGAUCUCACAGUCAAAUUCUUUGUUGGAGACAUAAUUGGGAUCUCCGAAGUAAAUGUUAAAAUGAUUGGAAACUUCAUAACAAAUUGUCAAUGGUUGGAAACCCUCGAUGUGGCCGAAUAGGAGACUUGUGAGGAAAUGAGACCGCAAAAUUCUCCUCUUUUUUGUUCAUAGUUUCUGUUUGACUAACCCGUGAAGGGAUCCCACAGACGAUUGAUUAUACCGUAUGAAAAAUUGACUCAACUGACGAAAUUUCUUGAAAUAGUGAACAUUUUAUAUAGUUUUGACUCGCUUGUGGUGUACUUGAUAGUUACUAUAAUUAGCGGAGUUAACUAAAGAAUAUUUGUUGACACUAAUCUAUAUUUCUCUUGAAGCAUAACAAAGUAUGUCUUGAAGCUUACAAUACAGAUUGUAAAUAUAUCAUUUUUUGCUACAGGUAUUACUUGAUGUAAGAAAAAAAAAACUAAAAUUUAACCUUAUAUAUCAUUCUUUCUAAUCUUAACGCUGACUUUCACUAUUUUUAUCGUCUAUUGCUUUAAUUAGAGUUAGACUACAACUCAAUAAAAAUUAGGUUAAAUCAAUAUCAUCAAAUUUUCAUUUUGCAUUCCUUCAAAUAUGAUACAAGCACAAAUUGUAAAACAAAAAAAAAUGGGAAAAAUUGAAUACAAUUAAGUUAAUUUGAUGAAACCUAAACUCUCUGAAGAUGUUGCCGGUGCUCUCAAAGACCAACACCUCCCAUAAACAGCUAUUAAGUUGUCAAAUCAAUAUUCAAGACCUAUUGUUGAUGAUGGUGGUGCUGGUGUAUCUAACAUUAGAAAGUUGCAUUAGAAAGUAGUAACUAGAGUCAAAUAUUAAAUGCUCAUUUGGGCCCCAAAUGGACCCGAUGUCCAAUUACAGAUAAAAAUUACAAAUAAAUGAAUUAAAAUAAAAUAUCUGAGAAAUACUUUAAAUAAUCGUAACAAAAAAACAAUUGUGCCCUGAUUUUAAAUAUAAAUUGUUUUUGUCGAUAAUUUUUUUUUCAAUCACUGCUACAUCUUACCAUUUUUGGGUUAAAAAUAUACAUUAAAAUUGAUGAGGUUUAACAAAAUUUGGAAAACGAAACAAAAAAAUAAAUAAAUUAUAUAUAUAUAUAACCUUCGUCUCCAUCAACUGUGACUCGCUAACACCCCCCAUUAAGCUAAAGGCCACUAAUUUCGUCACGAAUCCUUAAAUGCCCUUCUCUAUUACUCACAACGCCCACGUUCUGCUUCAACCAGUGAGAAAUACAAGUCCUUUAGUGUGCAGUCACACCAACUGUUUCAACAAAAAAGAACAAACCCAGAAUUGGAAUGGAUUGAAAUUCAUCAGACGCAAUAAGCUGUUAAAAGAUCUUUCUACUUGGGGCAUUGGCGGGCCUUGUAAUUACUUUGUCCAAGUUUUUGACCAAUCCCAACUUGUUUCUGCCAUCAGGUUCGUUUCUUGUCCUGUUUCAUGAAUCGUAAUAUCAGAAUCUUUCAUCUGUAUUCUUUAUGUGAUGCCCCGUGUAGCACGAUGCGUAAUGCACACCUUUUGUCUUUUAAUAAUUAGCUUGUAAGAACGUUUGAUUAAUUGAUACAUUUCCGAAAAUACGAUGUCAUUUUCUUCACAUUUUGAUUAACGAUGCAGGUAUUGUCACGAGCAUUCCGUCCGGUACGUUGUUAUUGGUAAAGGCUCAAAUUGUCUCUUUGAUGAUCUUGGUUUCGAUGGUUGUGUUAUCUUAAACCGAAUUGAGUUCUUAGAGAGGAAAGAAACAGGAAUAUACAGAGUGGGAAGUGGUUUCAGAUUUAAUAGUUUGGGGAUGCAAUGUUGCACCGAAGGAUUCACGGGUCUUGAGUUUGCUGCAGGAAUUCCCGGGACAGUGGGUGGAGCAGUUUACAUGAAUGCUGGAGCAAAUGGGCAGGUAAUACAAGAUGGUUCUUUUUUUCAAAUAUGUAGAUUAUUUGGAAUGUUCGGUGCAUCAGGCGGCUGAUUGAGUUGUUCCUUUUUUUCCGGUUUUCAAAGGAGACGGCUGGCGUCAUUGAUAGUGUCGAUAUUGUUACACUCGGAGGAAAGCUUCAGAGAGUUAGCAGAAAUGAUCUAAAGUUUGGCUAUCGCUCAUCAUCAUUUCAAGACAUGAAAGACUUGGCGGCCAUUGUUGCCGUCACAUUUCAACUGCAGGAGUCAACAUCAGCUAGGAGAAAGCAACGGGAGUAUUUGGACAGGUGAUUUGUGAAAGUGAUAAACCGUGCUUACUGAAAGAGAUGUUUUCUAUGUCAAUACCGUGCUUAUGAGGGUUGGUUUGAUAACAGGAGGAGGAUGACUCAACCUCUGGGAGAACGAACGGCUGGCUCAGUGUUUCGGAAUCCAUCUGAUAAAGAAGUUGCAGCAGCUGAGUUGAUUGAGAGAGCUGGUUUGAAAGGAUUUAGGGUUGGGGGAGCAAUGGUUUCGAACAUUCAUGCCAACUUCUUUGUCAAUACCGGUGGCUCAACUUCUAGAGACAUGCUCAAUCUCAUUGCUUUUGUCAAGGAAAAGGUUGAUCAGAAAUUCGGGGUACAACUUAAGGAAGAAGUUCAAUAUUUUCAUCCGCAAUGAAACCAUUUAAACCGAAACGGGGACAUACAAACUGACAGUGAAACAAUUGGUGUAAAUUAGCAAAUGUAAUUUUAAUUGAUAUUCCAUUUGAAUCAAAAGGUUUCAAUAUUUAAUUGAUGAAUCCAUCAUUAUGUUGUUUCUGCACGAGUUUUCGUUGUAAGCAAUGUCCAGUACUUCAAGAGCUUUUUGUCAGUGCUUUGGUGAUGACAUGAGUAAGGAUUCCAAUUGGACAAAAAAGAAGGCAGAGAGAGACUGAAUGACGGGUUUCAAUUUGAUUUUGGAGCCCAUCCUGGAAAACAUGGCUGGAUGGGUAACAAUAACAAAAGCAUCAGUAGUGCAAUAAUCACCCAAAAAAGACUCUGAGGUUUGUGUGUGAGAGAGUGAGAGAGAGAGAGAGAGAGGAAGGGAGAGAGAGACACCUUGCGGCAAAGAGAUCCACAGCUAACAAGUGAAUCCAAGCAGAAGCUAAAGUUAUCUCACUGGAGAACAUCUUUGCUAUGCCAGGUAGCUGCAAAUGUUACAAUAUUGUUAAUUAUGUCAAAUUGAAACAAUUGAUUUACCCCAACAAUCAUUAGAACUUUUAGUAUCUUGACUUGAUAUUGAAUUUGGGUCCAAUAAAAGAAAAAUAUAUGUAUACCUCUGGGAGCCAGUAUUUACUUGCAAACAUAAGUCGUAACGUAUCAGGUGUCCAGGAGAGAUAUAGUAGAUAUGCGUAUAGAACUCCAAGCACGACAUACGGUAUGCUACUUUCCAUAGAUUUCUUUGUCUGGAUUUUGAGACAGAAAAACCCAUCACAUUCAUCGCUCAACACUAAAAAUGUCUGAAAGGCUUCCAAGAUUUAAGUCAAUGAAAUUAAAAAACUUCAGCUGAAUACGGGGAAGCAACUAAUCAAUCAAGGGAUUUAUAAUUCAUUAGAACUGGGAAUCUUUUUUUUUUAAUCGUUUAUUAGAACUGGAAAUUGAUUAUUAAAUUUUGUACAUAAAAUGACAGUUGUCAAUUCAAGGGGAGGCAUGCAGGUUUAUAGAAGAAGCAGGCACAACCAUAUAAAACAAUCUCCAACAGCUAUAUUUUGAAUCCCAUGAAGCUAUCAGGAAACUCUUGGAAUAAAUGAAACAAUUAUGUCAUUUUUUGGUGACAUGAUAGGCAAUAUAAAUUUCCCAGUCAAGAAGUGAUUGGGAAAAAAACAAUGUGUAUGUGCUUAUAAGGAAUGAGAAAUGCACAGUUUAAUGGAAGUUCCCAGAUAAGCACCAAAAGCUUACCAGUUCAGCUUUAGGAGCAAAAACCAUGAGUGUGUAGAAUGGAAGCACACCUGCCGUACCCAAGGUGAACACAGUACUAACAAGCUGAGGGCCUGACAACCCUGAAAAAGUUGUACGGAAGAUAUUAUAAUAGGCAGUUAAUCCCUAAUAACACAGGCAUAUCUGCAGGGCAAAAGCAUUUAAUGCAGUUUAAUGGUGAACGGAAUAGUCUAUAUUAAUAGUGUGCUAAUGCUCCAAAGUUCUGCAAUGCAUGGUGCAGCUAGGACAGAGAGCACACGCACUAACAAAAGUUCUAUAAAAAUUUGUUUAAAGCAUCAAGAGGAAAGAAGUGACCAUUUGAGCAUAUACUCAGAAUAACAAUCAAACUUACACUUGAUUCCAUAAUGCCAACCAAGUUUGUUAUUGCCUAGCGGCCUUUGGGAGUGGAUGUUAGUAUACUGUAAUCUUUGAUGAAACCAAAACAAGCAACUAAGAAAGGCAUUGAUCUCUGAGCAGCACCAAGUUGUGAAAUUUUUAGCCGAAAUCAAUAUUUUAAACUACAAAAUACUUUCUCCAGUUGUUAACAGUAUUGCAGCCAUUUCACAAUUUUAAAGACUUGAUGCAUAAACUAGUGAACAAACAUCAUUUCCCUCGAACAGAGGAAAAACUGGAAAAGUCAGUAAUAUUAAGAUAUCCUAUCUUCUUGAAACUCUGAUGAAAAAAAAAAAACGAAUAAAAUAGGAAGCCAUCAAUAAUAAUGAAACAAAUAGUAAACAAGAUUACAUGAAGCGUGAAUGUGGAAGCCUUUUUGAUGACGAAUGAAUUUUGUAACCUGUGGCCUUAUAAUAACUCUUGAUCCUCCAAGAAAACUCCAUUCACUUUGCAAGUCAGUUCCAACUCCUGUAAUUUGCCGUCCAAAAGUUUCAGCAUUCAUGCUUCUGGGAGCAGAGGUUAAUCUUUGAUCCACGCCAACAUUACCCCAAGUUCCUAUAGGCUGCUACAAACAGUCAAUCUAUAAGCAACAAAACUUAAACCCAAAGAGAAACCCUCAAGCUUGCACAAUAAACAGAAAACUGUUUACUUAAUUUAUAUCAUUAUAUUCAUCCUUCAAGCUCAUUAGCAUUCGAUAAACUUCAUGAUGACUCCUCAAGGGAAAUCUAGAAAUCCAAUUUUGAUAAUGUACGACCAUUAAACCAAACAAUUGGCUGAUUAAUUGGAAACGGGUAAACAUUAAUCACAGAUCUCAGUAGAAAUUUAACUAAAAAUAAAAAUGUGUAGAUAAAGUCACUGAAAAACGAAACUUCCUCCAGAAAACAACACAUCCAAUAGUAAUUUCUCCUAAAAUUCCAAUAAAACCCAGAAAAAGAAAACAAUUAACACGGCAAAACCAUAGCUUAAACAGCAAAAACAAGAAAGAAACUUACCUUAUCCUUGAGUGGCAACACUAGAGGGUGGCAUAAGCAAGAAGAGAUGGCCAUGCUAUGAGCAAAAAUGAAAAUCCCAGCAACAACCAUAAUGGCUUCUUCUUCAUCCGUUUAUAAAAGCACUCACUAUGUGUACGCUAAAAAGAACAAUUAAAAAAGAAAAUGGAGCAUCCGAAAAAUGCUGAAGUGGUGAUGUGGGACUUUCUUUCCACUUAAGAUGAAACAGAGUGCAGACACGCCGUUACAAAGCCACGAGCGGAAUUGAAGGAGACGUCACUACAUUCACUCAUUCAUCUAUUAUUAGAAUUGUUGUGUUGCGUUACACACUCACUGAGCACCGAAAGUGUGGAGGCAAAAGCGUAGCUGAGACAGACACCGUUUGCUCUUGUCAUAGUCCCACUUUUCAUUUGGAAUCUUUUAAUGUCCUACACGUGGCCUCACAUGGUUGGCUUUAGUUUGUUUCCACGGUAGUUAUUGAUCCACUUCUGUGUGCCUUUAGGUUAGGGGUCUGGUUUGGUCAACGUUUAAUUUGAAGAAUAUUAUUCUAAACAGACAUGAGUUACUGAAUUAUGAGUAUGUUCAUGCUGUGUAUCGCAACAGAAAAUAUAUUGGGAAAUUUAGAGAAACACCCGAUUAAAAUAAAUAAAAAUCCGCCCCAUCUUUUAUUUCAUCUCCUUAUCUUUCGGAAUUGAAAGGAAGUUGACACAGCCUCUAUACAGACGAAGGCCCUUCCUCUAAAGGAAUGUAACGUCGACCAAGUGUGCCAUGAUAAUGUGAAUUGCUGAAUACAAUGUUUCAAUCUAAUGCACCGGACAGUUCUGUACAUUCAAUACCAGUCUUAUUUCCUAUUUAACAACAAUCAAGCUCCUCAUUUUUAUUAACUCCAGCGAGUGAUCAAUCAACUGUCAGUACUACUUCUGCUGUGAUCAUCGAGCCAUGAAAUGAUAUCAGCAAAUACUCGAAUUAUCAUGUCAUCAGGCUCGCCCUCCAGAAGUGAAUGAAAAGCAUCCUUGUAAAGAAUGCACUUCUUGUCCUUACUGCUCGCUUUCUCAUACAAGGCUUUGCUCACCGAUGGGUCAGUUACAGUAUCAUUCUCCCCAUGCAAGAUUAGCAGUGGCAGAGAAACCUGUCGCAAUACCAGAAUUAGUUAUAUCCGAUGCAAGAUUUACACACCAAUGAUGUAUGAGAAUGUUCUAUAUCAACCAAAACACUUCUGUUAAACGAAAGUUUCAUUCUUAUUUGAGAUUCUUGUACACAUAAAGAUUUAAAAUCAACUUGAAUUUGCAAUGCCACAUACCUUAUCCGGUAAAUAGCUCGUUUUCUCUAUCCAGUAAAUGUCUAGCACAAUAAUAUUCUCAUCUUGGUUUUCUUAGUUAUUCAAAUUGAGUUCAAGCCUGUUCAUGAACUUUAUGAAACAUGUUCAAUAAUGGGAUAACACCUGCAUCCCUACAUUACGAAAUGGAUUUCUUAGUAUUUAAUUUUCUACUUUCUUCAAGUUCAUGUUACAACCUUUUUUUAAGUUAUCAACUAUGCAAUUUCUGAGAGCCAUCACUAAUUCAACAAUUUAAAUCAAAAGUUCCUACUAGACAAGCCCCUCUGAGUCAACUGACAAUAGCCUUUAUGCGGGCAGAGAGAAAGGUCAUGAAAAAUCUCAGAACAUAUGCCUCAAACUGGUUAAAGAGCAUGAAAACAUAAUUUUCUUGCCUUUUCCAACUGAUAUACUAAACAUGAUCGGAUGCAAGAUAAGUUUCCUCAAAAAAAAAAAGGACAAAAAAUCAUAGGCACAGAUGAUAUCAAAAUUCAAUAUUAAAAAUUAUUGUCAUGCCUUUUCCAACCGACGUUCUAUCCCUUCAGUGGUUUUGAGCAGCUCUAGAGCAGUCCGCAAGCGUGGUUUAUCCUUGUAAACAAUGACAUUAUACUUAGUCUGCAUUCAACAGGAAAAAUGAGAGUAUUUAGAAUCAACAAGUGGAUGGCAGAAUGAAUAAAGAACUUAAUCAAAUGCAGGGGAGGGGGGGAAGCUACUACCAUAUGAUAUCACAAUCCUACAUGGCUCCAUUAUAUUAUUUGCUAUAAAGCCACAAUUAUUAUAAAUGCUUUGCUUUAAUUUUAGUCAUUGAAAAGAUCUAAGAAAUAUCCAUUCCCCCCNNNNNNNNNNNNNNNNNNNNNNNNNNNNNNNNNNNNNNNNNNNNNNNNNNNNNNNNNNNNNNNNNNNNNNNNCACCCCAAAAAAAAAAGAGAGAGGAAAAAAAAAAAGGAACAAACCAGUUCUCGAUUCUUCAAAUCUCUAAAUGCAGCCUCAGCCAAAUCCUUUUGAGGAACCAACUUAUGCUUUGGAAGAAUAUUAGCUAUGCCAAUCAGGAUUUGUUUUACUAAAAAUGGGGGCACCAUGUCAUCUGCAAUCUAUGCAAAAUUUUGAGUUAAUAGAAGGGAGGUAUGUCAGAUUCUAAGACAGUUUAUAAUAUAAUCAGGUUGAAGAAAAUACUUUGCACAUAGGUGCAACAAGAAUAGCACCGCUCCAUGCAUUAGGCUGUUUAAGGUGCACCUUCACUGCUACAGCUCCACCAAGAGACUGACCAAAGAGGAAGCUCGGCAAAGUACGAAACUCAGGGUACUCUGCCAUGUGAAUCAACCAAAACAUAAACAUCAAGAACAGACAAGUAUCUUGAUCAUAAUCUGUUAACCAAAUGUAAGAUGUUUGUUAUGUGUACUAUAAUAAUUGCCCUUAAACAGAUCAUUUCAAUAUACUUUGCAUUGUCUCAAACGAUGACAAAAUCAACAAACCAGAGAAAGUUUUCUUCAAAGUAAACAAAACAAAGAAUUCGUAAAUGAAGACAACAGAUUGACAUGGAAAGGGAAAUGUUAAAAUCAUCAAACCUAAACCUACACUCAAAACAAAAUUUAAUUCUAUCGCCAUUGAGGGUUUCAAGGAUUCCAAGAUAAGGCUCUAAAACAACUUGGCACACCUUUGAUGUUGGAAUAAUGCUCGAUGACAUCAUCAACCAGCCGGUCAAAGCUGGGAAUGUAGCCAUGAAGACCUGCUGAAAGGCCAAAUCCAGGGUAAUCCAUAGCGAAAACUCCGUAUCCAGAUGAUGCCAACUUCCUUGCAGUUCCUGAUAAAAUGCCACCAUGUAAGGCUCAAUUACCGCACCAUGCCUAAGGCUAUAAACAGUUAACUGCUACUUAAUGCUAAGAGCUACAUGCCUUCAAAGAAAAAUGUGCAAGUGUCUCCAUAACCAUGACAAUAGCACACCAGUCCUUUGGGUUGAGAGGUCUCCGGAAGCCAACUUUUACAGAAAAUUUCCACUCCUCUGGAAUUCACCUCAUACGACUGCAAAACAGCAAACAAUGUGACCUUCUUCAGUUAAAAGCAAAUUACAGCAAUGUCAAAACACAAAAACAGCAGGACACAAUGCUUUUUUAUACUUUAGCCAGCAUCACCGAUCACAGCUUGGGCCCAAUUCCACUUUUUUGGGUAGAAAGACUCCCUUUCGUACGAAAUGUAAACAGAAAGUAAUAAAAGCUGAAGUUUUGACUUCUUACCUCCUCCGUUUUCAAUCCAUCACAAGUGGCCUGCAAAAUAGCCAAAAAUAAAAUAAUCAAACUAUAAACUUCAUUCAAAGAUAUAUCCAUCAUCCUUCUAAAGUACAACACUUCAUCAGCACCAUUGAACACAACUGAUUCAGCAACAAUCAACGGACCAAAUUAUUUCCUUUACCAACUUUUCAUUUACCACAAACAAAUCCCACUUAACAUCAUCAACUUCCAAUAACAAAACAAUAUAAAAAUAAAUAAAUAAAUAAGUCAAAUUAAAAAAACGAAUGCCAAUAAGCGAAAAACAUGAAAAAGAAUGCAAAGAAUAGAACCACCUUCAAUAAAAUAUGAUCAAUAUUAAGCUGGAUAUCCUUAAACGCCUCACGUGCCCGGCGCCUAUUGGGAGCCUCAUCCAUGUUAGCGUCCAAAAUCUCGCUCAACUCAUCGCUUAUUCCUGGAAACUUCAGCUUUGCUGCGGCCAUUAUCCUUCUUUUUCCUCUGAACCCAAUUAACCCCGCACCCAAACUCUUGGCCCUCGUACUCAAUCAACUUCACGUUAUUGUUAAAAUAACAAAGAAAACAAAGGUGAAUGCUUUCUUGGGUUUUUGCUUUAAAUACCACGUAAAGGGUGCAGUCACAGCUGACCUUAAAGCCAAAUUUGGAAAGUAUAUUAAUUAUAUUUUUUUUUUUAAAAAAAAAAAAAGGAGAAAAAUAUGAACGUAUCAUGAAUGGUGUUUGUUUUUGUGGACCGGGAAAGUGGCCAAAACUUAUAGACGAGGUCUGACUUUUAUUAUUUUCUUUGUUAUCUUUUUCUUUUUCCUUUUUUUAUUGGGUCGUUGAAGAUGCCGUUUGAGUGGGAGAUGCCUGCUUUCAAAGUUCAAACUUUUAUUUGCAGUUUCUAGAUUUCGUUUUAAUUAACAUUUGGGUCCCUUAAUUUUGAUAAAAUCAUAGAAUAAAAAUAUAGUUUGAAGCUUUCUUCGCAUGGAUCUUCAAUGUGACGCCAAGUUAAAAUUAGAAUACAAAUUUUAUAUCUAAUUAAAUUUACGUGGCAUGGUUAAAUGUCAUUUAUUAAUCAUUAAUAAAUAGUAUUAUUAUCACAAUAAUAAUCAACUAAUAGUCAAUAUGCAAUUGAUAAAACUAUAAUUAUAAUUUAAUCAAUAUAUACCUAUCAUUGUUGACUUGUUGUCUUUCUUUUGAAAUAAAUACUAUUAUUUUUUUAUUUAAAAAAAUUAAUUUAGGGUGGCCGUGGAAUGUGAAUGUGAUGUCCCUUCAUCCUCAAUGCCCGACUUAUUAGAAUUUAGAACAUAGCAGCGCUGCAUUGUGUCAUUUAGGACCUGUGUGAAAGAAUUAUGAAUUAUGUCGUUAUGUACGCUUUUGUCAAAGAAAUUAGUGAGCCAAAUGUUAUUUCUCUAUUUAAUAACUGUUUUGCAUUUUCGUUUUGUUUUAUUUGUUAAUUAGGCGGCGGUUGAACACGAAACUCGUUUUGGACCCCCUUCGAAGCCUCGGUUGACGUGGUUGGUGACUAUGAGGGAGCGCGGCCUUCCCGUGACGGGCAGUCGUCUUGGUGCGUGGGACCGCUGCUCUACUUGCGACACGUGGCCCACAGCGAAUGCGAAACUGUGUAUAUAAUAUAAUUUUCACUAAUCACUUGCAUAGUAUACGACCGUGUCAAGCUCCCAUUAGGGGCUGGGGUCUGCAUUUAAUAGGAACUUGAUACACUUGAUCACACUCCAUUUUUUAAUAUAAUUAAUCUUAUCUUCUAACAUACGAAAAUUUAUAUUCUUUUUAUUUUUUAACUUGUCUUAGAAUUCUUCCAAUAACAUAUUCUAGUAUAAUAUAUUUUAUUUUUUAAUAUAUUAAAAUUUAUAAUUUUUUUAUUUUGUAACUUAUUUCUUAUCUAAUAAAAGAUGCUUAAGUUAUUAAAAAAAUAGAUGAACUAAAAAUUAAAAAAAAAGUAAAAUAUACAUUUCAAUACAAUAUAUUUUAUUCUGUAGUGUAUUAGAAUAUAUAUUUUUCUUAUUUUAUAAUAUAUUCCUUACUUUAAUAAUUUAAGGGUAUGACUAUUUGAGUCCAUUAAAUUUCUUUUUAUAACUAUCAUAAAAAGUAAAUAUUUUUAAAAUUUUAAUAUUCUAAAAUUUCAAAAUUUCCCAUUAAGCUAUUUUCUUAUCAAUUUCACUGUGCAUAUGUUCUCUCUCUACCAUCACUUCUUAUAAAUUAAUCUCUCACUUCACUCUUUUUUGGCUAUGAAUUAUUUUGCUUCUUUAUUUCGACUGCAUCGCCUUUUGUCAUUUGAAUUGGGAAAUUUGUUGAUUAUAUUUUUAAAUUGGUAGUAAGAUUUACAGCUUUAGCCAGUUUCUGUAACAAACGGUUCUAUUCAAAGAGGUUGGUACGAAUAAGGAAUCUUUCUCCCUCUUGGAAUCUCGUUGACAAGAUGGCAAAGGGUACACUUCUUGUGAAAUCAAAAAUGAAAUAAGAUUUGGGAAUGUGUUAGGAACAUAAUGAAUUCAAAGCCAGAAAAAUAAAAAAAUUAUUGUGUUUCAUGGUUAAUUAAAAAUGUUGAUACUAAUUUUGGAUGGUGGUUUGUUCCUUUAAAUUCGCGGUAGUCCAUAGCUAAAUUGAUUUUGAUUAUUUGCAACAGACAAACAAUAGCAUUCAUUUGUAGUUGAACUCUAAAAGAAAAAAAAAAUUGAAGGAAUUGGUUUGAGCUAAAGAUUUGGGAGAGAAAAUAUACGACUAAUUAGGUAAAAUUUUCAAAUUUAUUUUUACAAUAAGUAUUUUAAUUGAAAAAAAGGUGUAAAGAGUUAAUCUAUGAUUUAAGGACGUGUCUGCGUUAAAAAAAUGAGGGUGCCCGAAUAUCUAUAUGUGUGUGUAAUUAUGACUGUGCUAAAAUAAUAAAUACUCGAAGUCGGAAAUUAAUUGAUCCAUUUUAAUAACAAUAGUGAUAAGAUUCUAAUAUUUGAGUCUUAAUUUAAAUUCUAAUAUUAUGUGUUACUUAUUUAUUAGAAUAUAGAUUAAAAUUAUUUACUCACCAUCUAAUGAAUGAAUACCACAUUAGUUUUGAUUCAAAUUUAUGACUUAAAUACUAUGAUACCUAAUAUUACUCUUUUAAUACCAAGAAAAUUAGCUUCAGCUAUCCCCACAUCACCAUGGAAAUGAGUCCGAACUCUAAACCAAACAAAUUACCAAUUUCGUUAGAAAUUAAAUCAAUCCAAAUCUAAUUCGAUUGGAACGAAUGGAUAUUAUUUGCCUAAAUGUGAAAUUGCGACUUUUCUCCUACCCUUUAAGCCAUGUCAUUUUCUUUCAUUCUAGUACAUGACAUGCGCUUCAAUGGAAGAUUUGUUCAUGAUUGGACGCGUUCGCUAUGAUAAUUAAUUAGGGAUGGCAAUGGGGAGGGGAGGGGAGGGGACCAAUCUCCCCAUACCCAUCCCCGAUAUUUUGCAUAUGUCCCCGUCCCCGUCAAAAUUGCUUGAGAGAAUCUCCAUCCUCUCCCCGAAUAAUAACAGGGGAUCCCCGAGGGUCCCCGGUCCCCGAAUAAUUAAUAGUCUAAUAUAUUUUUUAUUUUCGAUUUUAAAUUAAUCAUAUUAAAAUAAACUCAUACCGCUAUUGUAAGCUCGUAACCAACUUUGACAGCACAUUAAGGCCUCCAAUGUGCUUGGAUGAAGUUUGUUACGGUGUGAGCUCACAACUCUACCACCGGUGCUAAAAGCUGAUUCAGAAGCAACUGUUGUAAUUGGAAUUGCCAAAAUAUCUCUAGCAAUUCGAGCUAAUGUAGGAUACGAAUUAGGAUUAGAACUGUUGUAAAUUAUAAUUAGGCAGCUCUCUCCUGUAUCAUUGUGGUUUGGAUUAAAAAUUUAAGACUUUAAUUAGUUAAUUAAGUUUAAAAGUUUAAUAAUAUAACUAUUUUAAUAUUUAUUAUUUUUAACAAUAUUUAUAAUUUUGUUAUUUAUUUAUUAGUAAUUUUAAAAAUAAAAAUAAAAUUAAAAAUUAAAAUGGGGAAAUGGGUAGGGGAUGGGGAUUCCACCUCAUCCCCGUCCCCUCCCUGAAUAAAAAGUUGGGUAAAAAAUUUUUCCCGUCCCCUCCCUGAAAAAAAAAUUGGGUAUAAAAUUAUCCCCGUACCCUCCCCGAAUGGGAAAAAUCCCUGAGGGUACCCAUCCCCGUGGGGAUUUUUGCCAUCCCUAUAAUUAAUUGCAUUUAUUAACAGUGCUUAUAUCGUUAUUAGUUCAAUUUAAUUUGACAUGAAAUUUGACGUAUAUGGAUGGAGAUAGAUAAGCCCUCACGAAAUAAAUUUAUGAGUCACAUCCAUAUAUUUUUUAUGAGAAUACAUUAAUAGUAUGUUUAUUGAUCAAUAAAUGAGAAUGGAUUAGAAUUGGAAUGAACUAAAAUUAUAAUGAGAUAAUAUUAUAAUAGAAAAUAAAAAUUAGAAUAGAUUAUUUAUUUUAACUAUUAAAAUUGAAAUCGAAAUGAGUUGUAUUAUCAUUAAUGUGUUUACUUUAUUUUACAAUUUGAAUGAAUUAUUAUAAUUUAAUAAAAUACCUUUAAUUUAUUAUUACCAUUAUUUUUAUUAUUAUUAUUAUUAUUUUAUUAUUAUUAUUAAGAAAAUUAUUGUUAAUAAUAACAAUAGUUGUUGUUACUGCUGUUGUUGUUAUUAUUAUUUUCUCCCUCUUUUGUUUAUUUUCUUUUUCUCCUCUUCUUUUUCUCUUUUUUCUUUUUAUCUCUCUUUUUGUAAAUUCUUCGUUACUUCUUCUCUUUCUUCUUUCGUUUUAAAUUUUUAUUUUUCUAUUCUACAUCGUUUCUUCUUCUUCUUCUUCUUCUUCUUCUUCUUCUUCUUCGCUGUCUAUUAUUUGUCUUCAAUCUCUUUUUUCUUUUUUUCUUUUUCUCUUUUUCAUUACCUAUUCUUCUUCGUUUCUUUUUUUUUUUAAUUUAUUUUCUCUUCUUUAUUGUUUCUUCUUCUUCUUCUCCAUCUAUUCUUCAUCUUCAAAUUAAACCGAUGGUGCCACGCGAUGAAUGACGACGUGAUUCCAACGUGCUGUGCUACGAGAUUUGGGUUUGGUUGCUGUGAGAUUUAGGAUUCGAUUGCUUGCUGUGAUUUUCAUUUUGAUUUUUUUGAUUUUUGAUUUUUUUAUUAUUUAAAGGGUAAAAUUUUAUUUAAUCUCUAUAUUUUGAGGUUAGUACCCGUUCAGUCCCUAUAUUUUUAAAAAUAACUCAAAACAUCCCGAUAUUAAAUUAUUAGCACAUUUCCUCUUACUUUUUAUUGCUUUUGGCUUAAUUUUUAUAAUAUUACCCUCUUAUAAUUUUUUUUUGGACAUUAGUAAAAAGAAAAAAAAUUAAUUAUCAAUUUAAUCUUAAAAAAUAAAAUAGAAUCAAAAUUAAUAUAUGUUGCUAUUUUGAAACACACUGAGGAAUUAAUAUAUUAAUUUUUUUAUUAUUAAUGUCCAAAAAAAUAGGUAAUUUAAUUAUUUUACAAUAAAUUUUUUUUUGACACACGUAAACUUUCACAAAAUUUAAUAUAUAUUCUUUUUGUUUUUAUUUUAUUUUUGGGGUUAAAUUGAUAAUUUAAUUUUUUUAUUAAUUUUAUAAAAAGAAAUAUUAUUGUAAGAGGGUAAUAUUAUAAAAGCAAGUCAAAAUAAAUAAAAAGUAACCGCAAGGAUGUCAAUAAUUUAAGGGUGGAGAUGUUUUGAGACAUUUUAAAAAAUAUGGAGACUAAAUUGACACUAAUAUUAAAAUAUAGGGAUGCAAUAAGCUUUUACCCUUAUUUAAAAAAAUGAGAAAGUUAUAAUAAUGUAAUUGAAGAGGGGGUAUUUUAAGAAAUUCUAGACAUGAGAGUCUGAUUCUCAAGCUGACUUAGAAAUCAAACUCCAUAAUGAUUAUUAACUUGGUGUGGGCUCUACGAAAAUGAAUCUUAUUCCUUCCCUCAUUCAUCAAAUAAAUGUUGGUUUCAUUCUGAUUCGAAAUUCCCAUUAUUGAAUUUGGAAAAUAAACUCACCAUAAAAUGAAUAUAUACAAUGUGUGGUUUAAUUCUCUAAAAAGUUUCCACUUUGACAUAAGGCGGAUCAUAAUUGAAAAAAAAUAAUAAUAAGCCAAGAGAGAUAACACAUUUUCCUUCUAUCAUCCUCUUCAAAUGCUUUAAGCCAAGAUCAAAUAUAAAGUUUUUAUGUAACUUUAUAUUUAGGUUAUUGUGAAAACAAAUAAUAAUUGUAAUGGAUUGUGCUUAUGCAUAGUUGUUUAUUUGUAUAAAACUUAGGUCUUAUUUUAUAGAGAAAAAAAAAUUAUAUUCUCCUGCUAAUAUGUCAAAAGUUUACUUACAACCAAUCUUAAAUGGGUUGUUGUAAACUCGUGGGUAAAAUGAUGAAUAUACAUUUCUCUCUAUAAAAGUAUUCCUCCGAUUUUAUAGAUAAAAUUUAUUGCAGUUUUGUUUUUGAACAUAAUUUUGUAAGAAAAAGAAAUUGUUUAACAAAAUCUCGCAAUAGCUGACUAUCAUUUAUAUGUUAAAUAUAUAAGUUCGAAGUAACUCUUAAACUAAUUUUUUUAGUGUAAACUAGGCUCAUAGCCUUAAGGUCUUUAGGUUUAAAAAUGAAUAAGGAAAUUAUGCAGGGAUUUCUAUUGAAGUUUAGUCAUUUUACUACUGUGGCACAUACUCUUUACAAAAACUUAUUCUAAACUCCUUAAAUUUGUAAAAUUUCGCUAUAGUUAUGUUGAACUAAAUCAUGAGUCCACCAGUCAUGAUCUCCCAUGUAAUUUUAUGCAUGAGGUAGGAAGUCAUCGUAAAGAGGAUAGCUAGUCCACAAACAUAAUAAAACCACUCAAUAUGUUAAACUAUAUAUAGAUAUUUUUGGAGAAUUCCACGCGUUUAACGGGAUACCGAGAUCUAGUUUACUAUUAAAAUUGAACAGCUAAAUUUUAAAAAUUUCAACAUUUAACUAUUUGAUAAAUACUAUAUGGUACGAUUUAAAAAUUGAUUUAAUUUGAUCAUACACUUAUAUAAUGAAAACUUAUUAUAUUUUUAAAAAAAUCAUUAUUUAAAAAUUAUAUUUAUAGCAUCUUAUCAAAUUUUAUUUAAAAUUUAACAUUAUUGUUCGCUUGUGGUAGAAGUGUGGUUGCUUCUCUUUACGAAGAGCCCUUUAAUUUCCAUAAUGAGUUUUUUAAUAGGUUAGGGCAGCAGGAUCACGUCCCCACGAUGGAUUUGUUUGGUGUAGGUGAUCAGUUCUAAUUAAUUAAUACUUAAAAGAUAAUUUAAUAUUAUAAUUUUAAGUUUUUGUUUCAUUAUUAAUAUAUAAAUUAGAGAUUUAACAUUUUUUAAUUUUUAAAUUUAAAUUUAUUAUUUAAAUUUAUAAUUUUUUUUUUUUUUAAAAAAAAGAGGGAGUGAGUCUAGUUUGGGCUUUUUUCCUAAAUCUUUAUACAGACUCUCAUGUGGAAGGCUUGAGUCAAAGUCCUUGCCAAUGGGCCGGACCGCCCGGACUUUUUUGCGAAUUGGUCCUUGAGUAAUGAUGGGUCUUCAUUGCGAAAGGCGGGUGGUGGACAUACGUCCGUCAGCUAGUCAAACAUUGCGUUGAGCCAUUUAUCAGGGGACGUGUCAAUGUGACAUUGGUCUGUUUGUGGGUCCACAAUUUAUCAUCUUACGCUUACCUCACAUACGGGCCGGGCUUACCAGACUGAGCUUUGUCUAUUGGACUAGGUUGGCCUUGAUUUAUGGGCUAAAUUGCUCGCGUAAAUUAAUGAUCUUAUCCUACUACCUUGGACUAGGCUUUACUAACGUUCCCCACAAACAAUGCCUAUGAUGGGUUUGUAGAGCCUGAUAUUCAGUAGAAGAGUGAAUUCCUUCCCCCGUUCGUAUUAUUUCUAAUUUAGCCCAUCCAAGAAAAGAAAUUAUAACCAAAAAAAGUAUUUAUAGUGUAAAAUUACUAUAUUUUAAUCAAAACUCUAGGAAGAAAAUAAAAUCAAACACUUCCUCAAAAAUACAAAAAGGGGAUUAGAGCUGCAAAUGCAUACACCCCUCGGACAAUUACUCGAAAAGGAGGAUCACGUGUCCACUUUAUCACCUUAACCUGGUCCCUACCACCAGUUCGCAUCCACGUGUCAAAAUCACACAUGAGAAAUUCAAUUCUGAUGCGGUGGAGAUGGAGGAUGGGACCCACCACAUGAUUGCCUUUUACACGCUUCUUUUAAGCUACCGAUGCGUGAUUUGCGCGCGUGAUUAAAAAAAUAAAAGAAAAACCUCUCACUCUUUACUCUUUACCCUUUGGUCUUUAGUUUAGGGAUGACAAUGGAUUAGAUCUGAUCUAAGAUUCACGUUAUCUAAAUUUAAUCGGAUCAGAUUUAGAUCGAUUUAAAAUAGAUUUAGAUUGGAUUUGAAUAUUGAUGUGUGGAUUUAAAACGGAUCUAGAGCAGAUCUGGAUCUAUCUUAAUAUCUAAAUUCAUAUUCAUAUCCACUCAUUUUUUUAUUUUAUUUUAAAAGUUUCUUAACAAUUGUAAAAUUAUAAUGAUAAUAAAUUUUAUUCAUAGCAUAUUAGUAGUAUUUACUAUGCAUUUAAACUCUUAAAACUUAAAAGUUAGUUUUGUAAAUUUAAAGGUCAACCAGCCCCAAAGCAUGUACAUGUAAUAUUCAAAUUGCAAGUCAAGUAAUAUAACAUAGAAAUUUAUUUUAUUAUAUUGGCCAAAUAAUUUUUAAGGAAUAUAGUUAUUCAUAUAUUUAGUCAUAUAUGGACAUAAUAAAAAUAAUAAAUGACUGAAUAUAAAUCAUAUUUAAUUUGUAUGCCAUUAUCUAAUGUUGUAGGAAUGACGAUAGAUGUAUCGUGGAGAUUAGAAUGAUAAAGGAGACAAUAGAAUAUUAUAUUGAUCUUACUCCUGCAAUUACUUAUGAAUGAUAUUUUAUUAUCUUUCUUAUUUGUUGUUUUGGUAUAAAAGUAUAAGCUACAUAUUAUAUUUUUGAGAAAAAUUAUAUAAUUUAUUUGUUAUCAAUUCAUUUUAGCCUUCUAAAAAAUUAUUACUUUUUUUAUUAUUAAAUUUUCACCCCUCGGACAAUUACUCGAAAAGGAGGAUCACGUGUCCACUUUAUCACCUUAACCUGGUCCCUACCACCAGUUCGCAUCCACGUGUCAAAAUCACACAUGAGAAAUUCAAUUCUGAUGCGGUGGAGAUGGAGGAUGGGACCCACCACAUGAUUGCCUUUUACACGCUUCUUUUAAGCUACCGAUGCGUGAUUUGCGCGCGUGAUUAAAAAAAUAAAAGAAAAACCUCUCACUCUUUACUCUUUACCCUUUGGUCUUUAGUUUAGGGAUGACAAUGGAUUAGAUCUGAUCUAAGAUUCACGUUAUCUAAAUUUAAUCGGAUCAGAUUUAGAUCGAUUUAAAAUAGAUUUAGAUUGGAUUUGAAUAUUGAUGUGUGGAUUUAAAACGGAUCUAGAGCAGAUCUGGAUCUAUCUUAAUAUCUAAAUUCAUAUUCAUAUCCACUCAUUUUUUUAUUUUAUUUUAAAAGUUUCUUAACAAUUGUAAAAUUAUAAUGAUAAUAAAUUUUAUUCAUAGCAUAUUAGUAGUAUUUACUAUGCAUUUAAACUCUUAAAACUUAAAAGUUAGUUUUGUAAAUUUAAAGGUCAACCAGCCCCAAAGCAUGUACAUGUAAUAUUCAAAUUGCAAGUCAAGUAAUAUAACAUAGAAAUUUAUUUUAUUAUAUUGGCCAAAUAAUUUUUAAGGAAUAUAGUUAUUCAUAUAUUUAGUCAUAUAUGGACAUAAUAAAAAUAAUAAAUGACUGAAUAUAAAUCAUAUUUAAUUUGUAUGCCAUUAUCUAAUGUUGUAGGAAUGACGAUAGAUGUAUCGUGGAGAUUAGAAUGAUAAAGGAGACAAUAGAAUAUUAUAUUGAUCUUACUCCUGCAAUUACUUAUGAAUGAUAUUUUAUUAUCUUUCUUAUUUGUUGUUUUGGUAUAAAAGUAUAAGCUACAUAUUAUAUUUUUGAGAAAAAUUAUAUAAUUUAUUUGUUAUCAAUUCAUUUUAGCCUUCUAAAAAAUUAUUACUUUUUUUAUUAUUAAAUUUUAAAAUUCAUGACGGACUAGAGCAGAUUUAGAUUUUUUUUUUUCAGAUUUGGAGCAGAUAUAGAUAUUUAUUUCUUUUUUAAAUUUAGAUAUGGAGCGAAAAAUAUAAAUUCAUGAUAGAUCUGAAGCAGAUAUAAAUCUUGAUAUUUAUUAUAGAUUUAAAUCUAAAACAGAAUAAAUCCAACCCAUAUCUGUCGCAUUAACAUCUCUACUUUAGUCUCGUACUCUCUCUCCUGCGAUUGCUUCGAUCUUUCGUAAAGACAUUUAAAAAUAAAAAUUAAAAAAAAAAUCUAGAAAUGAUCAAAAUAAAUCGUUGAAAAGUCAGACGAGUUGGAAUCUCAUGGAAGCCAGCCAUGACACAACACUACACUGGAUCUAAUGCUUAGUCAAAGUCAAACCGCCGGCUACUCCUUUUCUUUCCCGUCAACAACCGCAGCCUACUUUUUCUAUUUUAUUUUCUUCUUUUUUUCAUAUUUUUUAUUUCACUCAUUUAUUUGUAUUCCUUUUUUUUUGUAUGAAUGAUCCAUCGUAAAUAAAAUUUUGAGCAAAUGAAAAAAAAAAUCUAAAUAAUUCAUUGGUUCUAAAGACCCAAAUAAUAUUAACAUCGUCAAAUCAGGGUAAUGAUUGCAUUUGUUUUGACAGUAUAAAUAGGAAUUAGAAUGAAAAUUUCCCAUCUUGUAAUUAUAAUAACAAAAGAAGAAAACCAAGUUUGACGUAUAGAACUUCAGCUUAUAGCUCGUGCAUACCUUUUAUCCAACACGUUACUCACUAAAGUUGAACUCAUUUGAAAAAUACAGAAACAUAAACGAGUUAGUCAUAAUAUGAAUACAAUACAAAUAAAUAUCUGUUGACUAUAUGUAUUAUCUUUAAUUUUUUAUGUAAUAAUCAAAUAUCAAAAGCUUAAAUAGAAACGCAAUUUAAUAUCACAUUCACAAACUCCAUAAACUAUCGUUGAAAAGUUCAAAUUAAUAAUUUCUUUUCACAACUUACAUUUGUCUUUAAUAAAAGUCUAUUGAAACCUACCUCAUAAAUAAAUAUUACAAACACACACAAAAUAAACUUCUUUCCACAUAUAAGAUAUAUAUAUAUAUAUAUAAAGAAAAGAAAAGCGAUUUCCUAUUAGUUGGUCGAUAAUUCUCAAAAAUUAUAAUUAAUGCUAUAACAAUUUAUGUGAUACAUAUAAUUUUUAACGACAAAAUUAUUUUAUAAAUGGUAUUGUUCCAAUAAGAAAUAUUCCUAAAACACAAGAAAAAUGCAUACUCUUAUAUAUUUUGGAUAAAAUAAUUUGUAUUAAAAUGUUUUUUUUUUUUUUACUUUCUAGUUUAUUUUUGAAUUCCUUAUCAAAUAAUAACUCAUUAUAUAAAUAUCAAUAAAUAUUUUCAUAAAAAUAGUGUUCGAGGUUGUACCUUAUCUCUUGAUAUAAAAAUAUUCUACUCUAUUACCAAAAUUCGAUUCACUUUACGUAAACAUCCAAUCAGCGUUAAAAACGACACCGUUCAUCCCAAUUUAGGAACAUAACCACCAUCAUUAGUUCACUGCACCUUCUACAAAUACCAGCAACCACCCCUCUCCUUCUCCCCUUUCCCCCUCCACCGUGGCAUCUUGUUCGCUCUAAUCUGUUCGGACGAUUCGUUCAGGUAAUAAAACGCUGCGUUUCAGUUUCUAAAUUUAGAUCGUGUAGAUCUGGUCCUCUGUAUCUCCCGUUACCGUUCAAAUAAUUCUGUUACCAGUCAAAAUUCAGAUCUGGCCUUUAAUAGCUGUAUAAUCCAAAACAAUAAUAAAGGGAAGAAUUUGUUAGCAUGUUUUAUCUGUCUAUUUGUCUCCUUUAAAUUCGAUGCCUGAGAAGUUUUCACUUGCUCUAAAAUCGAAAUCGAACCGUUUCGUGUUGAAUCGAUUCGUUCGAUUUUCGAGAGUUUUGUAGUUUGAUUAGUGGAUGAAGUAGUUCGAAGUUUUUUUUUUUUCAAGGUUUGUUGUUUGUGUCUAGAUCUGUUGAACUCAUGAGUUAAUCUCGUCGUUUUCUGUUUUGUUCCCUCGAAAUAUGUGUUUUCCCUUCUGAUUUUUUUAAUGAUUUUGCCUAAUUUUUCUCGAGAAUUAAAGAGAUUUAUGAAUUGGGUUUGAUAUUUUAGUUUCAGAUGUUGAUUUAACAGGAUGAGAAAAUACGAAAAUUCGGCCUUGUUUGAGGUUCUGUUGAUGAUUUUGUCUAACUUUCUUGGCUACCAAACAGAAUUUUGAAUUAGUUUUCAUAUUUUUCUGUUCGAUGUUGAUUAUUUUUGUGAAUGAAUCAGCCGAUUUGUUAUUUGCUUUGCAGAGAAAAAUAUUUAUUUAUUUUUUUGUAAUUUCUUUGCUUGAUUUUUAUUUUUUUAUUUUCAUGCUAGACGUUGAUCAUCAUAGUUGAACAUGAUUUUGAUUUUUUUUUCUCUUUUUUCUUUUGGUGAAAAAAUCUCCUGAUUUUCUGCUGGGUUCCUAAGAGAAUUUUCUGUUGUUUUUCCUGAAACAAGAGAGACAUGUGAUUUGAGUUCUAUAUUUUAUUGUAACAGAAGCUGAUCUUUUGAUUUUUUUUUUUCUUUUGAACAGGCGUUUUUCUGUUUAUUAAAGCGGGUUUUUGAAGAUGAACCAGUUCUAUUAUCAGAAGAACGCCUUUGGCGCACACGAGGAGAGGUGUGACUCGUUCUCCGUCUCUGGUCAGAGGGAGUCUGUUGUUUGCCCUAAGCCUCGCCGUGUUGGAAUUUUGUCUAAUAUUCAUAACAGGCCAUUGAGAAGGCACAUGAGGUAAAAAUAAUGUUGUCUUUUUCAAAUGAUCUGUGUAUACUCUUUUGAGUUUGUUGAAGAUUAGUUUAGUUCUAAGAAAGUUUUGAUUUUUUUGCAGUCAUCCAGUUGAGGUGUCUGAUUCAAAAGCUGGGGCUGAGCUUCUAGACAUUAUUCUCAUGAAGGUAUUCACUUGCCGCUUUUGUCUAACUUGUAUCUGAGAGAUAUGUAUGAUCAUUUUGUGAUUGUUAUCCAUGUAGAAAUUGAUUUGAAUAGAUAGAAAGUUGCUUAGAAAUAAUCAAUCUAUUGCUUUUGUUUAUUUGAGUGCCAUACUUAUGGUAGGUGGGAUUGUUUUGUCAAAUUCUUUCAUGAUGGAACACAUUAAAUGGUGCUGGUCUGAUUUGUAUAUGCUUGUUUUGAACAUUAUAGGAGGGUCAUGGGGUGGAUCAAACUGCUUCCCAGGCAGCAUCUUCACCACCUUUUUUCUGUGGGUCUCCUCCAAGCAGGGCUGCCAACCCUUUAAUCCAAGAUGCCCGUUUUGGAGACGAGAAACUUAGUCCUUUGUCUUCAUUGCAAGUGCCACCCCCUUCUGGUUUACCAUCUCCAUCGUCAUCAGCACGUAAGGCCGGAUGUGCUAGAAUGAACUUUGGGCUUAAACCAGCCACUGUUAGAGUAGAAGGAUUUGAUUGCCUGAACAGGGAUCGCCAAAAUUCCAGCAUCCCUGCUAUGGCUUAGAACUGCAUAAAAGAUGAAAAAAGAAGCUGUAUAUAGAGAAGGAAGCUGAGCGCCAACAUAAUUCAACAAAGCACAGCAGACCUAACACGAGGGAGUUUUGAAUAUUUUUGAAGAGAAUGUAAGAAGAUAUGGUAGUAGUGUAUGUAUAUAUGUAAAAUGUGUUUUUCCAUUUUUAUUUUUUUUUUUUUGGCCGGUGAUCUAUCUCAUUGCUAAUAUCUCUGUAAGUAUUUUGAUUGAGCAAAUGAAAGAGAACGGCAACUCGGGGACGUUUUGAAGAGCUUGGCAUGGCCGGCUCUUCUUGUAAUAUAAGAUUUAGUAUUGGGAGGGAGUUGUGAUAAAGGAAAAUUUGUAUAGAGGGCUAUUGCCUAUUGGUGACUUAAUGUUAGUCAUUGACGCAUGUAAAUGUAUUUUGGCAGUUGUUAAUGGCCUGGCUUCCGUUCUUUCCUUGCAGUUUUUCUCUCUUCCUCUCUUCUGCUAAUUGCUAAAAGGGUACUCGAGUGAUGUUUGGACAUUUAUAUUUUAUAUUGAAUUUUGAAUUUUUUAAUUUUUAAAUGGCUAUUGUGUAUGAAAAAAAAUCAUCGGAUGAGAUGGGAUUUUAUCGAUGACUUCUAAGGAAUGAUCUCAUGUUCUGGACAGAUUGUGGAGUUGUGUGUUAUAUUAAAUAAUAAAUAAUAGCACAGCGGGGCAUGCAUGCAUGCAUGAAUAGGUUUGGGGUCAUUUUAUGUGAUUUUUCUAUUCGAGCGUUGGCCGCCUGAAUGAUUAGUCAAGUGAAUCAAAUUUGAAUUGGUCUCUCUUUGACGAGAACCAGUCGGUCAUCUACUAAUAUACUUUAUGAAUAAUAUAUUUUAUGUUAUUUUUCCUAAAGGUUUUGGAGACUCGCAAUUAUGUGGACUUCCAUGAUAUGUUCACAAAUGCUUAGCUGAGCAAAUAUACAAAAACUAUGUACCGUAGGGCAACGUGAUUUGGUCAAUUCCGCUGUGGCUGGGACCCCUCGAGAUGAAGCUAAACAAUCAUCUUUUCAUUGUUUUGUUUAUUCUCUUCUCUGUUGUGGUUCCGUGUGUGACCAGAUUAAGUGUAUCAUUGCCAUUGGGAUAUUUUGCUUCGUGCAAAUUCAACUAAUGCCUGAUUUUUUACGAAAAAAUUUCGGUGUUUCCUAUCCCCGGAGUUUAAAUUUCUGUAAUUUGGGCUUGGGACAGAGGCCCUUGGUUCCCAUUAGGCCGCGGCUCUAUUUCUUGGGCUUUUAAUAAUCUAAAUACUGAGUUUGUGUUGGGGCCGGGCGAGACACUAAUUAAAAAAAGUUUUCCCACUUUUUAUCUCAUGUUUUCAUAAUAAACAAUAAAAAAUAAAAGUGAAAACGAUAAUACAAGCCAUUCAGAAUGCCAUGAAUUUUAAGUAAGUAUCCUCCAAAAAGGAAAAGCAAGUGCGUGGAAAUGGCAACGUGAAUGUGCUGAUGCCACCGUAUUCGUGUAAUGUUUCCAAAAGAAUCAUUUCACAGUCAAAGAAGAAGACAACGACGAAAUGCUUGUCCUGUUUCUAUGUAGUUGAUGAAACACGCUCGCUGCUGAGAUAAGUCAUCUAACUACUUGUUCACUUAAUUUGUUCUUUGAAUCUUCCUAAAUUAAAUAAAUAUUUUAAUUAAAAAUUUGAUAAAAGUUCUUUUUAAACGGUAUAAAAUUAUUAUUUUAAACUAUAAACUUGUAAUUUUCGCUAUAGAUUAAUGGGAUGUAUUACCAAGUUAAUAAAGAUACAUUUUUUUUAUUAAAAACAAUUAUAUAAAUUUUAAAUAAUUUGAAAAAAAAAAACUUAUAUUUAUACAAAAUUGAUGCAUAAGUAUCAUAUUUUUGUUUUAUGUAAAUCAUGUUUAAGUUUAUAAAUUAUAAGGACAGAGUUUACUUAGAUAAUUUCAUUCAUUUAGAACAGAAUGCCUUUAAUUUUUAACUUCCGGUCAUUGUUGUUUUACCAAUCAAAAUUAAUCUUGUCAAAUUUUUAAUUACGAUACCAAAAUUUGCAGUGUAAUAUUAAGAAAAAGAAAAACACAUGCAAUUAGCACACGUAUUAUAUGAGAUUGAUUUUUAACCUUCUUUCAUUGUUGUUUUACUGAUCAAAUUUAGUCUUGUCAUAUUUUUAAUUAGAAUACCAAAUUUUGUAAUGUGAUAUUGAGAAAAAGAAAAACACAUGCAAUUUUGCACACACAUGACCGCAUAGAUUAUAUAUUGGGUACUAACUUUACAUCUUGUCAGAAUAUCAUCAUCUUAAUUAUCUAAGAAAACAUAUAUAAAUUUCUUUAGAUCAUGUUUGUCCACAAUAACAAUAAAGUAGAUAAGGUUGAAAACAUCUCACAUCAGUAGCUAGAUUUCUUCACAAUUUAUUUAGAACAGAAUGCCUUUGAUUUUUUAACCUUCUUCCAUUGUUGUUUUACUUAGCUUAUAAAAAUUAGUCUUGCAUAUUUUUUUUAGUUAUAAUACCAAACUUUGUAAUGUAAUAUUGAGAAAAGAGAAAAAACACAUGCAAUUGGUAUACACAUGACCACAUAGAUUAGAUACGAGGUACUAACUCCGUAGGUAGUCAAAAUAUUAUCAUCUUAAUUAUCUAAGAAAAACAUAUAUAGAUUUCUUUGAAUUCUGUUUGUUCAUAUAUAGUAAAAUAGAAAAGGUUUGAAAAAUCUGACAUCAGUACUUAGAUUUCUUCACAAUUUAUUUAGAACAGAGUGCCUUUCAUUUUUAACCUUCAUUCAUUGUUGUUUUACUUAUCAAAAUAAAUCUUGUCAGAUUUUUAAUUUUAUUACUAAAAUUUGUAAUGUAAUAUCAAGAAAAAGAAAAGCACAUACAAUUAGAUUUCAUUGGAUUCUGUUUGUCGAUAGUAAAGUAAAUAAGGUUAAAAAAUCUGACAUUAGUCUCCAACAAAAAAACAUGAUUUCAUUUUUCUUUCUGACACCAAUUCACAAAAUUAACAUAAAUCUCGAAUUUUGGUGAUGUAAGAUCGAGUCAUAAGAACUAAGAAUAAUAAUAAGAAAAAUUCUUUAAAAGACAAUUGUUGAAUUUAUGAAAACCCAUAUAUCAUCAAACAGACGCAACAAAUGAUUAAUUUCUUUGUACUGUUCAAAUAUAAUAUAAAUUAGCUAAAUAUUUUGUAAUAAAAAAAAAUUAAUGAAUAUUUCUAGUAUCAUAACAAACAAAUUCAUUAAAGAGGAAAAAACUCGUGCUCCAUUAUAUACGUGGCGACUGCAUGCAAGACCAACUUUGCAGCAAAACUACAAAACACUUUUCAUCAUCAAAAACGUUACAGAAGAUGAAGAAAAUUACAAAACGCUAAAAAAAGAAAGGAAAAAAAAAAAUUCCACACAGAGUAGAAGAGAGAAUAGAUUCAAAAUCGCAGGGCCACAAGACGAAAACUCCUGUCGGUCGUGGGACCCACAAGUCCACGUGUCCCGGCUGCAUGGCCACGUAUCCAUAAAGUACGAAGAAACGCACGAAGUUAGUUUCUUCUCUCCCAAAUUUUCCACUUAAAAUAUCGACUCAAAUUCGCAAGUACGUAUACCCCUCGAUAUCGAGUCAAUUCAAACGCAAGUUCAUGAAGAGUGCCAUUUUCUCGUGAGAUUCUUUUCUCGAGAAAAUGAUGAUGAAAGCCUAACUGAAAGGGGAGAAAAAAUAAAUAAUAAUAAGUUGAUAAAAAGACACAUGCGUUUGUACAUAAAUAGGCACUGUACUUCACUUGUCACCCAUCAACAAAAUCUUCGGCUGCACAGAAAACCCAGUUGCGCUUUCUCUCAACAAAAUGAAAAUGGCGAAGGUGAGCCCUGUUUUUGAAGGCAAGAUAAGCGGAGGAGGGGAAGAAGAUGAAGAAAAAGAAGCCGGGCGGUCGAGGAUGGCCAGGGAAAACGCGAAAGCCAGGAUACGUAACAUUAGAAGAGUGAGUGUCAGAGCUCGGCGUCCUUAUCAAAGAAGGAUGAUGACAAGAUCAAUGGCUGCGAUGAGUUCUUCUUCAUCAUCAUCACCACCACCAUCACCACUCGACACUAUCAAAGAGGACGAGCAGGAAGAGGAGGAUCAUCAAGAAAUGAACAAUAACAGUAAGGGUAAGGAGGAGGUGGUUGAACUUAAUGAAAAGGAGAAACAAGAAGUGAUUGUAAGUGAUGAAAAGGAGAGGGAGAAGGAGAAACAAGACGUGAUUGUAAAUGAUUCAAAGGAGAGGGAGAAGGAGAAACAAGACGUGAUUGUAAAUGAUGAAAAGAAGAGAGAGAAGGAGAAACAAGAAGUUAUUGUAAUUGAUGAAAAUGAGAGGGAGAAUGAGAAACACGAAGUGAUUGUAAUUGAUGUUGAUGAGGUAGAGGAUAAGCCUCAGGCUGAGGCGGAGGUGCCAGCGGCGGCUGGUGAUGGUGGUGUGAGGGAGAAGUACUAUUGUUGGCCAAAUGGGUGGUAUGAUGGGCUAGAUGAGUGGCCGAUGACGUGGAGCUAUGAGGAGGAGUGGCUUUGGUCGGGGAGGGGAUUAGGGUUUGGGCUGACUAAUCCUCAGUGGGAGUACAUUGACGGAGUGGGUUGGAUUGAUAAGAGACCCUGAGUCUGAGUGGUUAAAUGAAACCGGAGGUGCGUUCAUGUUCAAUUGUGUCCCCUAUAUAUAGAAGAGAAUCUCUGUCUUUAUUAAUAUGUCAGUAUGAUGUUUUGAGUAUAUAUGUAACUAAACAUAUGUAGCUAGCAAGCUAGUGUAUCAGUGCAUGUAGUUGGGUUAUAAAUAGUGUUUUGUUGUGUCGAAAUGUGAAUUUAGAUAUGCUUUAAUUAGUAAUUAUAUAAUUAACUAGCACAUUCAAUCUCUUUGCUGUUGACAUAUAAGGGGACAUUGAUUACAGCAUAUACAUAUACACAGGCUAAAUCCAACAUAUAUUAAUCUCUCGCAGCAACCUUCAAAUAUGAGAUUGAAAUGGGGUUUUGAAUUAUAUUUUGGUCAGUGAUUGCGUGAAAUGUCGAUAAUUCAAUGGAAAAACAUGUUAAUGGGCAUGUACGUCAACUAAUUAAUGAGGGUAAUGACAUAGGAACCAUGAUCUUCUAUCUUAAUAUUAUUAGAUAAGAUUGUAAAAAUAGUUAAAAUACGUUAAUCAUAAAUUGUUAUAAAUGCACAAAAUCAUAUAUGAUGUUUCGAAGUUUGUAGGAGAGUAUAUUCAUUUAUAUAGCGGCUCUAAAGUCAAAACAUUUUACAUUAGAUUUGAUUGUUUGGCAGCCUAACAUAUAUAUUUAGAUUUGGAUUCCUUGCUUUAAACUUGAAACCACUGUAUCAUUAUCCCCUAAUAAUUUGAUAGCUUACAUAUAUGCACAAAAUCAUAUAUGUGUAGUAGCCGAGCAUUUUAUUUGAUAGCUUUUAGUUAUCCUAUAAGCUGAUACAUACAAUUGUACAUAGUGUAUAUGGAUCAAUUUAUUAGACAAAUAAUUAACGAAAGAAUACCGUUAAAUAUUACUUUCUAUAUGCCUUUUAAGUAACUGAAAAAUCAAAACAAAAGAAUUUCAAUAACUGUUUUUAGUGAUUUUCUUUAGUUAAAAAAAUGACCGAGCAUGGGAAAUUUUUUUUAAUUACAAUAAAAUUUUUUUAUCAAAGAGAAUACCUAACUGUUUUUAACUAUAGUAAGAAAAAAAAAAUACUUCCAAGAUCAUGGGACAAAGGAUGAGAUCUCGAUAAAUUUGUGCGUAUAUAUCAGUAUAUGGAACGUCAUUCAUUCAUACAACCAAGCAUUUCAUUUUUUCAUAUAGAUGAGAAUUCCUGUAUUCUUGUAUUAAUUUAUCACGAGAAACUUUUUUUUUUUCAAUUUGGAUAAGACAAAUUAAGAUGCGUAAUUAAGCGUUGACUUAAAUUGGUAACAAAUUAAUUUUCAAUGAACUUAUAAAAAUAAUUCACAAGUGUAGUCUAAGCCUCUAAUUACUUGACAUAACCUACAUCCGUAUGAAUGAUUUUUUGCCAAAUUCCCGUGAGCAAUUCGGCAUUUGGAUGCUAGGUCAAUGUGGUCCUGAACAAGAAAUGCCUUAAUGUUAUAGUUAAAUGGUAAGAAGUAUUAAUUUUGUAGCUUGUUUAAGGAGUUGGAAUAUUGGCACACCUCUAACAUUCUCUUCAAACCCCCUUUAUGCAUAUAUAUAUUCUUUUUAAUUCAUAAAAUAACCUUCAUUUGCUGUACUUUCUUAAUAAACCAUGUGUUAGUAGUUUGAAAAAAAAUAUUAUUAGGCUCUCUCUCUCUCUCUCUCCUCUCUCCCAUUUCAAACCAUUUUUAAUUUCUUCUUUGUUACAUCAUUCAUGAAUUUUUAAUUUUUAUUCCCAUCUCUCUUUAUUUUCUUAGCAUGUAACAACUGGAGUGUACAUAUAAAGAUAAAUAAUGCAUAUAUGAAAGAAAAAACUUCGCAUAAGUAAACAAACUUCACAAAAUUAUUUUUUCUACAAAAAUUUAGUUUAUAUUUAGAUCAAAUCCUUAUUCCAUGACAAUUCACUGUUCAAACUUUGUAGAUUUAAUGAGUUUAUAAUAGAUAAAAAGGUAAAGAAAAUAUAGUUAGGUUUAAUUAGAUAAAUUUUAUUUUUAAUGUAAUUUAAAAUAUAAAGGAUAAAUUUGUAAAUUCAAAGCAAGAGGGGUUUCAAAAGAGAUAUGGAGGGGUGCCAAUAGCGUAACUCUUGUUAAAGUUCUGAAGUGCGCGAUUUUGAAUAUUCUAAGCUUGCAUUUGUAAUAUGAGCUUUCAUAUAUAUAUAUAUAUAUAUAUAUAUAUAUAUAUAUAUAUAUAUAUGUUGAUAGAAAUUAUUUGAAUGGCGGUUAUGACUGUAAUAUGAACAAAAACUGUUAUACACAGCCGCAAACCACUAACAUAUUGCAAGGAAUAUAUGUGUGUGAUAGUAUAAAUAAAACAAACAUAGGAUCGAAUAUACGUACAUUAGUGUUUCUGUAAGCUAAGAAAUAAUAAAAGAAAUUGCCUCACGGCUUUAUAAAAUGUUAUAAUUUUCUUAUUGUCAAAAUACUUAAAUAGACAGAUAGACGCUCAUAACCCCUUGAUUGGAUUCCCUUAACUUUAAAGCAAUUUAUCCACUCAUACAAGAUAAAAGCAAAUUCUAAAUUGAAAAGCGUUACCAUUACAACCCGGCUUUCCAUUCUACUGUGACAAGGAUUACUCCUUGUUUUCCUAAUUAUUUUCUCUUCUGCAUUAAUUUAUGAUUUCCUUUAAGACUACUUAUAUAUAAAAUUGUAAUGUCAUCGAGGCAAAGCUAUUUCUCAAGCAAUCAAUCGAUAAAACUUUCAGGCUUUGGCAAAUUUGAAGGUCGAUCCCCUCGCUCGAAGUGAUCAAAGGAUAUAGUUUAGUGGAAUUUGACGUGGCACCCCCUGCUUUCCUCAUCGUCAGCUGCUGGUGGCCUUGACAGAAUCAGACAUCACUUAAGGGCCCCUGCGUGGUUUUGAUAUAGUUAGAGAUAGAGAAACUGGAAAGUCCAGGGGCUAUGCGUUCUGUGUUUACCAACAUCUUUCAGUUUCAGUGAUUGCAUGCGCUACCCUGAAUGGGAUAAAAUUGGGAGAUAAGGCUCUCACUGUUAGACGGGCAAAUCUAGAUUGCCUCGGGGAGGAGGGGCGAAAAAUGUUAAAGAAGGUGAGGAUGAUAGAAUGGUCUACAAGGUAGGGUCGAUACAAUUCUCCGAAUUCUAAUUGAAAGGCCCAUUCAAGUCGAGAUUCAAUAUAAAAUUUUAUCCCAAAUUUAAAAUCUAGAUUGAGAUUCGGAACUCAAUUUUAUUUGGAUUUACUGUUCAGGACAUUUGAAAUCCUGAUUGGGAUCCUAAAUAUUUUCAAAUCAGGGCCUUUAGAAGCAUCUGACAAGUUGGUUUGAUCAAGUAUAUAAUUUAAUUUAUUAUUUUAAAAUCAGGGUCUUUAGAAGCAUAUGAUAAAUAGAUUUGAUUAAAUAAAUAAUCUAAUAUGUCGGUCAUAUGAAUAUGACAAGUCCAUUUAAUAAACAUGAAGCAUAUGACACAUCGAUCAUAAGUGUAUGGCAUGUUGUUUAUUACAGAAUCUACUGUGUACGACAAUAAACUCACAUCAUCCAAGACAUUCAGGGAUCAUAAUAUAUUUUUUAUCUUGAUUUACUGUUCACAACAAUAUUUAUGAUUUUUUUUUUAUUCCAUUUGAUGUCUCUAUUAGCAUUAGGAUUUUGUUUUAGGAUUUUAUUUUAUUUUGUUAAUGUUUUUGUUUGGAUUUUAAUUUACGAUUUCAAUUAUUAUUUGGUAUUUCCCUUGUAACCCUAUUAAUAGCGAUGUCCUUGGACUUUCAAAUUCAAAUUUAAAAAAAAAAAAAAGGAUGAUGCCAUAUAUCAGAAGGUAUUGUUUAAUUGGGGAUUAUUCCAUUAUUACUAGAAAAUGCUGAUGGCCGAGUGUAAACUUCUUGAAAAUGACAAGAACUCGUUUGUAAAACACAACCCUCAAGUUUGGAUUGGGAUGGGAGUUAGGAGAUGCUAAAGUCAAUUUCAUACAAAAUUGAAAAUUUCAAUAAAUUACAGAGAAACUUAUCAAAUUUUGAAAAACCUUAAAAGCGAUGUUUGUUUGAAUAUGACCAUUUAGCUUAUUUUGUCACCGAUUUUUUUUCAGACAUAUUUCUUUUAUUAAAUAAUACCUAAAAAUAAAUUAAUUACAGAGAACUUAAAUAUCACAAACCGCCAAACUUGCUCUUUCUAUCCUAAAUAUUGUUACGGACUGUUAACCAAUUUCUUGCACUAUACAUAAUAGAUGUCUUGUUUAAAUUCUUUGACCAGAUAUUUAACGAAGAUGGAUGAGAGGAGAGAGAAAGCGUGUAUUAAUGAUAAAAAGUAAAAAGAUUAAUGUCAUUUAAUUUAUUAAAUCCUCACCGUUGAUAUGUUUUAAAUCUAAAGGCUUAAAAUUAAUAUAAAAUUAAGUAUAAUUUUAGAGGGACGGACUUACCACUUGAGCUUGACUCCUACGUGUCAGUUUAAUGACCUUUUGAUAUCCUUUCAUUUCAAUCUAAUGGUCUGUUUACAACAAGAAAAACUAACAUCAAGGAGUUGCUUUCGUCUCUCUUACACUGUCGCCAAAGACUUCAUUCGUUGACGGGAAGGCGAAGCAAAAUGUUCUGAAUCAAGAGAGGGUGUGUGAAACAUUUCAAGCAUCGGAGAUAAUUUAUAAUCAAUGCAGUAAGAGAGACUAAAGAAAGCAUACAGUUCUUCUUAUCACCAACUUUAUCUCGUUAAAGGGAUGUCCACAAGUGUAGCUAUCGAAGAUUCAUCACUGACCUAUGGGCACACUUUUUGAAGAUUGUUUAGAUAAAACAUGAUCCACUAAACUUUGGGCUGAUAAAUGAUGAAAAACAAGUAAGCCACUGACAGGACAAACUUAAUUAUCUUUAUGAUAUGUAGAUUUGAGUUCUUGGUCCAAUUUAAAUCAACUAAAGUAGCAUGUACAGUGAAGUGGCUCAGGCUGUUAAUUAAAAAACUAAUCUUAGUUUUUGGAGUGAGACUAAUCCUCAAUUUAAUAUGUUUACUUAAUUAUAAGCUGGGAUGUCAGAAUUAUGAUCUGGGUUUGAAUUCUGAGAGUAAAUUGACGCAAUAGAAAGUGAAUGUACCGUGCCUUCAUUGGCCGAAGAUUUUGAAUUCUUCAAAGAAUCAGAUGUUCUUUUUGUUUAUAAUUGGACAUUUUGCAGGUCAUGACACGAGGUAACACACUGAAAAUUGCAGAGCAUUUUCAUCAUCUUCAUGAAUAAUACGUUUGGCUAUCCAAAUUAAAGCGAUCGAUUCUCCAAGGAGCUUGGAAUCCGGCACAGGUUUUGAGGGUUCAUUUGUAUUUAUUAUUUAUAAUUUGAUUGUUCUUCAAUUGGGUGCUCAAUACCUACAGCUCCACAACAGAGAAAUUAUGACCAACGAAUGAUAGAGAUGAUUGGCAAGAAUCAUAAAACUACUCUUUUAAUUCCAGUAAUUCUCACUCAUUAAACUGAACAUCCGAGACCCAGAUUAAUGAAACUGAAAACAAAGGAUUCAAUUAUUAAAAUAUAUAUAAAAAAAAAAAGCCAAAGUCGGGGAGAAAACCAAAAAAGUUUGAGCAGCAGCAACAGCAGCCUAAGUACAAAUUAAACGCAAACCGAACCCCCAUUGAUCGAAUGAUCAUUAUGGGGGUUACACAUAAUAAUAAUCAACAAUAUUGCAUGGGUGGUUACACAAAUUUAAUUGGGAACCUAGACGCCUGGUGGCUUGGCAGCAAGGAAACUGAUGCACUGCACUUGACGCUUGUUGUCAAAUCCGAUAAUUCGGACGAAUGAAUGUGGGUAUUCCUUCUGGACCUCCCCAACCUCCUUCAAAACCUGGGUUGCAUCUGUGCACCCAUACAUGGGCAGCUUCCACAUUGUCCAGUAGCGUCCAUCGUAGUAUCCUGGUGAGCUGUGGUGCUCACGGUACACCCAUCCUUUCUGCAGUCACGCCACCCAAAAGAAAAAACAAAAAAAAAAAAAUCAAAUAUCACCACCCAUUUGCCUGAUAAAAUCCGCUUAACCCAAAAGCUUAGAUUUUAAGUAAGCAAUUGUUAAUGCAGGUUUUGAUAUUGAAUGGAUAUCUCUGACCAAUAGAUUCAUGACAUGUGUAAUUUUUCUCCUAAAGCACAUAGAUAAGGUUCCGUCAAAAUAAUAGUAUAUAUUAAGAGAGACAGAGAGAGAGAGAGAGAGAGAGAGAAAUGACCUCCAACUCGAAUUCCAAGCAGGGAAUCCAGCCGGAGCGGAGAAGGUAACUGAUUUCCUUGAGCAAAGCUUCAUCGGACAGUGGCGGGAGGUAUGAGAGAGUCUCGAACUUCUUCAAGCCAGUUGGUGGCCACACCUGUAACAUACAAGCUCACAAGAAAAUUAAUUAAAAACAUAAUUGAGAGCUAAAAGAAGAAAGCCGUCAAUUUAAAGAAGCAAAAGAAGAAAUGAAUUCUUGUAUGAUUAUGAUGAUGACCUUCAUGCAUUGGACUCUUCCGCCGUUGCUUGCAAUGGAAGUAAUGUCAUUGUUGGUCUUCUUGGUUGCUGGGAAAGCAGAAGAAGACUUGAGGCCGGUGAAGGGGGCGACCAUGCUGGCCUGAGCAAGGCUGGCGCGGUUCGCGGUGGCAACGGUGGUCGAUGAGAUCAUUGAGGAAGCCAUUGGUACUUGCUCCUUCUUCUAGCUUUGCAAGUUCUUUUACUUAAUAGGAGGAUGCUCAGUGGCCAGUUG